GAAGCAGAUGUGCAGAAAGUCAAGGACGCUGCUCUUAGGAAGAUGGAGGUUGCAUUCAAGAACCACAAGAAUCGUGAAUGGGACAAGUACGUCAAGGGAGGAAGGAAGACUCCAGUAUUCGAGGGAACACUAGAGAAUCAAAGUGCUCAUUGGGACGAUUUCGUGAAAUUCAAGGAUUCAGAAUUAUCUAAGGAACGGUCAAGAAUAAACAAGGCCAAUGCCGCAAAAAAGGAUAAGUUCCAUAAGCUGGGGCCAGGUGGCUAUGCGGUGGGAAUGCCUAAGUGGGAUAAGUCUGAGAAAGAGAUGCUGGAUGCAAGUGUCACUCCAGAAACAUUGAGCUGGCCCCCCAGGUGCAUGACUUGGUUCUAUGCGCAUGGGGGGGAGUUGGACCCGAAGACAGGCAAAGUUUCCAACAAGGCAUGUCUAGACGGAGCCGAAGAUAAGCUACUUGUUGCAAUAGAAGAGGCUCAAUCCGGGUUGUUCGAGCCCAACAGAGAGAACGACGAGCUUACGCGUGCCCUGGGAAAUCCUGAACACCCGGGAAGAACACGAGGCAUGGGGGCUAUUCCGUGGUAUGAGGGGUUUUCGGACUGGAAUGCCGACUACAGAACUCGUGCAAGAAAGAAGAUUGCGGAGGAGAAGAAGAGGAGGAUGCAGGAGGAGCAGAGGAAGCUCGACUAUGAACGCCUUCAAGGCCUAGAAUCAGCGCACACGGACUUGGCAAUCAAAUUCCAGCGGCAGCAGGAGCAGAUCGACUCACUUAGCCAGCAAAGGGGGGCUCAGCAGCUGCAGCAGCUAGCGGAUGAUCCAACAUUGGAUACCACCGCCCCAUCCAUGCCGAGAAGCAGCGUGGGUUCCGCCCCGUUUGACUCAAUGCUGGAUAGAUACCCCGUGGAUGAUAUCACGGAGAACACUAACUGCGAGCUACACUUCAAAAUUAAGAACAUAUCCUUGAAGGUGGCGGACGGCGUUGCUUAUACAAAUUCCCUCGAUGCAACCUUCCAUUGCAACCUGAUUCCAGCAGGCUAUGCUCGUGUCGUGGUUGAUGAGGUGGUGGACCAAUAUUCGGGGCUAGAGCUUGACAUUCCUGGAGGUGACGAGGAGCACACACUCGGAGAUGCCAAACAUCGUAUCAUCCUAUGGAGAAAGGAUUGCAUCAUCUUUCGAAGGCCACCGACGCCGCGUCACCCGACUCCUCGUCGAAGUCCGCCACCGAGUCAGCAGACUCCCGCUCCUCCAAGUCCACCAACGCGUGAGGCCACUCCUCCUCCAAGUCCGGCAAAGUGUCAGGACACUCCUCCUCCAAGUCCGACACAGCGUCAGACGUCCACUCCUCCUCCAAGUCCGGCACAACCUCAGGCCACUGCAAGUCCGGCACAGCUUCAGGCCACUCCUCCUCGUCCAACUCAGCCCCGUCAGCCGUCUCCGCCGCCUCAGCAAUCGCAGAAGAGACACCCCGCAGCUAUGGUGCGUAGCGGUACGAUUCGAGGUCAUAGUACAGGAAGUACAGGCGGAGGCAAGCGAUAUAAAUAUGGUCCAAACCUCACUACUCCUCUUCCUGAGAGGGCUUACGACAGGACCGAGGAGCAAACCAAUGCCAUAGUGUGAGCAGAAGUCGAUGCCCAUUUUGGACCGAAACCGCCACCGCCGCCAAGGGAGAAAGUGCCUGUGAAGUAGUUGACCACUUCAUUCGUAUGGCUCAACCACCAGCUCCUAAGCCUGUUGACACAGACUAUGAGCGCCACAUCAGGAAGUUACAUCAACAACGUCUACAGAAGAAGGCGAGCUCGAGCUCGAGCAAACAACAAGCAGCUGUCAAAAAAUGCGGGAAAAUCGUUGCCCAGCUGGGAGAACAGGCGGCGCAAUCGAUCCCCCCGCUUGUUGUGCCGCGAACAACACGUGACAGUACCCGCGCCCAAUAUUAUUGUGGGCAAACAGUUUACGUUCCCGAGGUGGGCGAUGUGGUAAUAACCCAGGAGCAUAUAGUGCAGGCUAAAACUCUCAACAUCACUGUUGGACAACUCCUCGAGAUCGAGGACAUGCCUGUGCUUACAGAGGAGGAAAUAAAACGGAAAUAUGCCCGGGGCCAACCUUUGGUCAAGCCAGAAGAGGUCAAGAAGCUCCCAACGAGAAUGUAUGAAUUGCAUCAAUGGUACAUGGACAUUACCAAGAGAUCCGAUCAAGAGUCCCUCAUGGUGCAAGUCAAGAAGGAUCAUUACUACCAUGAGAAUGCUGUGACCGUUGAGUAUUUUGAACUGUUUCAGUUAUACAAUCAAGAUGCACUCGACAAAUCUAUCGUCAGUUGCUAUUGUCUGUAAGUGAUUUCUUUCUGUAAUUUAAGUCUCAAGCUAGUUGUAGUGAUCCUUUUGAUCAAUCAUUACCUGUAAUUAUCCUCACUAUAUUCUUUUCUGUGGUAUUAUGCAGGAUGAAGAUGUAUGAAAUGAGAAAAGGUGGACGCUAUGGCAUUGGGUUCAUUGACCCAAACACCGUUAAUGAAUACACAUGGAAAAUAAACAAGCAUUAUGAAAAAGCGGGUAGAGGACAGCAUGCUAGAGUUCUUGAAGCGCCUCAAAUACAAUGAAGAUAUACUACUUCCUUACAACUUCCAGUGAGUCACACUUUCUUGUACUACAAAUUCUCUGUUUUUGCCUACUAGCUAGCUACAUGUUUUUGCUUACAUAUGCCCGCUUAAUUAAGACAUGCAAACGUGUGUGCAUGCAGAUUUCACUGGAUCUUGUGUAUCAUUAAAGUUGACGCCGGAACAGUUCAAAUACUGGACUCACUACUCAAAGCAAAUAGUGACUAUAACAUCUUGUUUGGGAUAGUCAACAGGUAAUUUCAAUCAUUAUUAACUAUAUAUCUCGGCCUAUUUAGUUCGUCAUUUCAUGAUAUGAACUAUUUAAUAACCCCUUUAUUCAUUUUCUUUGUCGGCGGGCAGGGCUUGGGCAAGGUUCAUCAGUGUCACGGAAGGCUAGCUAGCUGAAAUGGUUUCGACCCAAGGUAAGUAAUUAAGUAGUACUAGCUAGCUAGCUAGCUGCCAUCUCUUUAAUUAUCAUGCUUGAUUAAUCAUUAUCUGAUCAAAUUAAAUUCCAUUCUCGUAAUAAAGGCCCUGAAGCAGGCGCAGGGGACUGAUCUGUGUGCAUUCUGCGUUUGCGAGAACAUUCGCAUGAUGGCGUCCGAAAGGAGCAGAUCUCAAAGACAGGAAUGGGUACGCUUAUCAGAACACUAUUCACAAUUUUUACACCAUUAUCGAUAUCUAGUCACACAACAUACACAUGCAUAUUGAUCUCCUUCUUAACAGUUCAAAGAGGUGCGGGACAAGCUCCUAGAAACGGAGCGCAUAGAAGCACUUCAAGAGGAAAUAGUGGGAUUUUUGCUCGACCGGGUCAUAAAUCCGAAGGGAGAAUACUAUUACCCGCUACCGCCCCCAUUGACCAGGUCAUCAACCACUUCCAAUUGUCAUUGUGCUUCGAAGGCACCAAUUAGGCUAAUGCCACUGGCUCCGAAGGCAACAUGCAUAUGUAGGAGAAAUUGUAUAUAGCUAUACAUGUGUGUAUGUGUGAAUUAAUAUGGUGGUUUGUGAGACACUGAUGAUAUAUAUAUGAUUGGUUCUACUAGAAAUUCUAUAUAUAUAUAUAUAUAUAUGCAUAACAUGUAAUGUGUAGUAUCGUAAAAUACCAGCAAACGAAAAAGAAUUAAAAUGGAAAACACAAAAUUAAAUGAAAAAGAAAUCAUAAAACCAAAAAAACCCCAAACAUUUUAGUACCGGUUGGUGUUACCAACCGGUACUAAAUGGCUCCCGACCCCCGGAGCUGGCUCGUGCCACAUGGUUGCCCUUUAGCACCGGUUCGUGCUGAACCGAUACUAAAGGGGGGGGCCUUUAGUGACCACACUUUAGUGCCGGUUAUGGAACCGGCACUAAAGGGCCUUACGAACCGGUGCUAUUGCCCGGUUCUGCACUAGUGGUAGGCAAUCCAUAAGUGGCUCUCAUGAUAGAUUCAUAAGGUAAUUUUAUUUUCUUUCGAGGGAAGUGUUCCAUGCCCUUUUUAAUGGAAAUUGAAAUCUAAUAUUCCCUUCCUUCAUAUCAAUAAUUGCACCAACCGUUCUAAGGAAAGGUCUACCAAGAAUAAUAGGGCAAGAAGGAUUGCAAUCUAUAUCAAGAACGAUAAAAUCUACGGGCACAUAAUUCCUAUUAGAAACAAUAAGAACAUCAUUAAUUCUUCCCAUAGGUUUCUUAAUAGUGGAACCCGCAAAAUGCAAGUUUAGAGAGCAAUCAUCAAAAUCACGGAAAGCUAGUAAAUCACACAAAGUUUUGGGGAUAGUAGAGACACUAGCACCCAAAUCACACAAAGCAUAAAACUCAUAAUUUUUAAUUUUAAUUUUAAUAGUUGGUUCCCACUCAUCAUAAAGUUUUCUAGGGAUAGAAACUUCCAAUUCAAGCUUUUCUUCAUAAGAUUGCAUCAAGGCAUCAACGAUAUGUUUAGUAAACGCUUUAUUUUGACUAUACGUGUGAGGAGAUUUUAGCACGGAUUGCAACAAGGAAAUACAAUCAAUCAAAGAGCAAUUUUCAUGGUUAAAUUCCUUGAAAUCCAUAAUAGUGGGUUUAGCAAUAUCUAGGGUUUUAAUUUCUUCAAUUCCACUUUUAUCAAAUUUAGCAUCAAGAUCAACAAAUUCCGAAUUCUUAGAACGCCUUCUAGGUAAAGGUGGAUCAUAUUCAGUCCCAUCAUUAUCAAGAUUCAUAUUGCAAAACAAAUAUUUAAUAGGGGACACAUCAAUAACUUUUAGAUCUUCAUCGUUAUUUUCAUAGGAAUCCGGUUUAGCAGCCAUCUUAUUGACUAAGGUAGCUUGCAUAUCCGAAAUUUCAGUAGUUAAUUUUUCAAGAUGGGCAAUUUGGGAUCUUAUACCAUCAAAUUCUUUAGACAUAUCAUCGAGCUCUUUAUUCAUAUAAUUCAUGAAACUUUUUUGUUCCUUAAGCUCAUUUCUAAAGAUAUUAUUAUGCUAAAAUUGCAAAACCAUAAACUUCCUGACGUUGUUUUCGAUCUCCUCUAACCUUUUAAGGUGAAGAUCACCAAAUCUAGGUAGAGCCAUCGCGACAAACAAGCAAUCCAACACAUGAGCAAACAAGAGCAAACGGGCAAAAGAGGCAAAUAGAGAGGGAGGAUAGAGAGAGAGGGCGAAUAAAACGGAAAGGGUGAAGUGGGGGAGAGGAAAACGAGAGGCAAAUGGCAAAUAAUGUAAUGCGGGAGAUAGGGAUUGUGAUGGGUACUUGGUAUGUCGACUUUUGCGCAGACUCCCCGGCAACGGCGCCAGAAAUUCUUCUUGCUACCUCUUGAGCACUGCGUUGGAUUUCCCCGAAGAGGAAGGGAUGAUGCAGCAAAGUAGCGUAAGUAUUUCCCUCAGUUUUGAGAACCAAGGUAUCAAUCCAGUAGGAGGCUACGCUCGAGUCCCUCGUACCUACACAAAAACAAUAGCUCAACGCAACCAACGCGCUUAGGGGUUGUCAAUCCCUUCACGGUCACUUACGAAAGUGAGAUAUGAUAGAGAUGAUAAAUAAUAUUUUUUUGGUAUUUUUGGUAUAGAGAUGCAAAGUAAAUAAAGUAAAAGCAAAGCAAUAAUAAAGUGAUGGAGAUUGAUAUGAUGAGAAAGAGACCCGGGGGCCAUAGGUUUCACUAGUGGCUUCUCUCAAGUGCAUAAGUAUUCUACGGUGGGUGAACAAAUUACUGUUGAGCAAUUGACAGAAUUGAGCAUAGUUAUGAGAAUAUCUAGGUAUGAUCAUGUAUAUAGGCAUCACGUCCGAGACAAAUAGACCGAAACGAUUCUGCAUCUACUACUAGUACUCCACUCAUCGACUGCUAUCCAGCAUGCAUCUAGAAUAUUAAGUUAAAAACAGAGUAACGCCUUAAGCAAGAUGACAUGAUGUAGAGGGAUAGUUUCAUGCAAUGUGAUAAAAACCCCAUCUUGUUAUCCUCGAUGGCAACAAUACAAUACGUGCCUUGCUGCCCCUUCUGUCACUGGGAAAGGACACCGUAAGAUUGAACCCAAAGCUAAGAACUUCUCCCAUGGCAAGAACAACCAAUCUAGUAGGCCAAACCAAAUUGAUAAUUCGAAGAGACUUGCAAAGAUAACCAAUCAUACAUAAAAGAAUUCGGAGAAGAUUCAAAUAUUAUUCAUAGAUAGACUUGAUCAUAAACCCACAAUUCAUCGGUCUCAACAAACACACUGCAAAAAGAAGAUUACAUCGAAUAGAUCUCCAUGAGAGAGGGGAGAACAUUGUAUUGAGAUCCAAAAAGAGAGAAGAAGCCAUCUAGCUACUAGCUAUGGACACCGUAGGUCUGAAGUAAACUACUCACAAUUCAUCGGAGGGGCUUGGAUGAUGAUGUAGAAGCCCUCUAUGAUCGAUGCCUCCUCCGGCGGAGCUCCGGAACAUGCCCCAAGAUGGGAUCUCGUGGAUACAGAAAGUUGCGGCGGUGGAAUUAGGUUUUUGGCUCCGUCCCUAAUCGUUUGGGGGUCGUGUAUAUAUAUAGGAGGAAGAAGUACGUCGGUGGAGCUUCGAGGGGCCCACGAGGCAGGGGGCGCGCCCUAGGGGGGCACCCCCUACCCUCGUGAGCACCUCAUGGCUUUCUUGACGGAGGGUCCAAGUCUCCUGGAUCUUAUCCGAUGAGAAAAUCACGUUUCCGAAGGUUUCAUUCCAUUUGGACUCCGUUUGAUAUUCCUUUUCUUCGAAACCCUGAAACAGGUAAAAAACAACAAUUCUGGGCUGGGCCUCCGGUUAAUAGGUUAGUCCCAAAAAUAAUAUAAAAGUGGAAAAUAAAGCCCAAUAAUGUCUAAAACAGUAGAUAAUAUAGCAUGGAGCAAUCAAAAAUUAUAGAUACGUUGGAGACGUAUCACAUGACAAUUGUUUUUAUAAUCCAGCUAGAAUCACAUAUGUCAGGGAAAGUACAUAGUCACUACGACUCAAAAUUUUCCUCCUCUAUGCAGUCUAGCAGGCGGUCUAAUUUACAAUCCUGCUGGGAAUAUUUGGCAGCUACUUCUACUUGGUUAUAUACCAAAUUCAUGGAAUUUCUUUUCCAUCUGACCCUAGAGGUCCGACUCGAGCCAUAUGAUUUGGAUCAAGCUUGGUAUACCGCAUUUUCACCAUGGCCCAGGCUUCCUGUGUGCCUUCCCGACAGGCCGAUAUCUUCCAAAGUCGAAAGCACCGCCGCGCUCCCUUAAAUAGUUGUAUCAGCUCCUCCAUCUUUCCCGGAGGGGAGGCAGCUAGCCAUAGGGCCUUGGCAACACUUCACAUCGCCUGACGAGCCUGCUCAUGCACCUGCGACAGUUCUUGUAGCAGAUCACUCAACGAUCUGGACAUCUCCUCUUUGGGACGACCAGUCAGCAUACCUGCAGACAUAAGUCUGUCAGCCCUUUGCCUCUGAAUUAUUCGAAGGUAAGUUCGAACUACAUACUGAAUAUACCGCCUCGCAGCCUUUUAUUCUCCUUUACGGAGUCUACUAGCUGGGCCCGUACAUCUUUCAGUUCCUCGCUCAUUUGGGUGUUCGAAUCCUGGAGCUUGUUUUCUCCUGAACAACUUUUGUUAGCACACGCUCGUCCGUGGCUAGCAGCUUUUUGGCUCCAUGUUCUCCGCUUCGAGCGGCGUCUAGUUGUUCUUGUAGUUGGUCUAAUGAUCCAAUAAAAAGGUAAGCAACUAGGUUAGCAUUAUUAGUGUACCAUUAUGUUUUCUCGAUGGAGGGAAACAUUACCAGGGGAUGCCUUCUUGGAUUUCUCCAGUUCGGCAUUGGCAGCAGUUAGCUGGCUCCGACACUUUUCUAGUUCCUGAGUUAACAGGGUGUUCUUCUCCGUAAGCACCUGGUUAUACAUUGAUCCUUAAAUCAGUUGUAUCAACUACUUUAAGUCUCGGGGGCUACUGUUGUAUGAUUAUUAAAUCUACGCUCACCUGCAUAUCUUUUAGAUGCUGGUCUGCGGCUCUGACAAGCCCAUCCCGAGCAACUCGAAUAUAUGCAUCAGCCGAAUUGAAGGCAUCAAAUGAUGCUUUCGAAAAACCAGGGUUACGAAGAAUGGCCCUCCGAUGACGAUGAUUCAUAGCGCUCUCCACUUCAGAGUUCGUGAAGGACACAUUGUCCGAAUCCUCUGUGGGAGGACAGUUCGGUGCCACUCCCAAAUCAGCCCCCGUUCUUUGGGCGGAGUCCGGAACGUGGCUAGUAAAGGCAUGACCGGCCGGAUCCCCGGACACAGUCUGGAGGAUACUUUCCGGCUGGAAUACGGUGAGUGGCAUUUCAGUUGGAUGUGAUGAUCAGAACGGGUAUUCUUGAAAAGGAAAGUCUUACCUCUUUGACGAGGGUUCUGUCGUGCUAUCAUUGGCCUUCCUCUUUGAAGAUGUGCCAGGCGCGAGCACUGCUCUCCUCGGAGAUGCUUUUGGUGCAUGUUGCGGUACUAAGCGUCUCCCCUUUGAAACACGGAAUAGUGUGGUGGGUGAGGCAUAGUAAGGGAACUCUCUAGAAGAAAGUACCGGCUAAAAUUACUUACGUGCGAAGAGGAAGGAGGCCAGGGUAAUCAACGAUGAUGGGUACAUCUGUGCCGUCAUAGCUCGUCUGAUAGAAAACUCCAUCUUUGAGCUCCACGAAUAUGUCAGGAUCUUCCUCAUAUACGGGGUCAAGAUCCCGAUUUUGAUUCUCCGGCUGAGGGGCGGGGUUAUGGAUCCCCUCGACAGCCUUUCGCCAUUCCUGUCAUGAAUGAAUAAGAUACCGCCCUUCAAAAAUAAUUCAGGGAGAGGAGUCGAAUAGUGGAGUUAGAGCUUACCCAGCUAGGAGAGUUAUACAUGGAAAACCCGUCUCGAUAUUGGAGACGGGUGAAAUCCUCCUGCUCCCCUUUAUAUAGUUCGGCCAAUAUUUUGGCCAAAGCGGCGGGAGUCUUCGGGCCCUUCCGACCGCAGCGGGAGGCGUCGUCUUCCCCAUUGUAAUGCCACAUGGGUAGCCCUAUAUAUUGGAGUGGUUGGACCCUCCGCGUUAUGGGGACCGCCAUUACCUCAACUAUUGACAAUCCGGACUGGGCGAGCAUCUUAAUCUUACCCAGCAACAGACUGAUCUCUGCGCUAUCCUCUUCCUCGAGGCUCCGAGGACACCAGCUAUGGCAUUUCUUCAACGGAGCACUUGAAAAUUCAGGGAGGCCCAUCCGGACUAGAUCUGGAAGUAUGACGUCCUCAAUGUAAAACCAUUCAGAGGUCCACUCUUCGGAAGCUUUCUUCGGUGUGCCGGAUAGGUAUCCGGUCUCAGCAAUGCGCCAUAUUUUGGCCCUGCCCACUUCAAAUAGCGAUCCCUCGUGGUUGUGCGGGACAAGACAGAACAACCUUCUCCAGAGAUCAAAAUGGGCCUCACAACCCAGGAAUAGUUCGCAUAAAGCGACAUAACCCGCAAUGUGCAGGAUGGAGGCUGGGGUAAAAUUGUGCAUCUAGAGGCCAUAAUACUCCAGAAGCCCUCGGAGGAAUGGAUGAAUUGGAAAUCCCACGCCCCUCAGUAGAUAGGGGAUGAAGCACACUUGUUCCCCCGCAGAUGGAUUGGGGAAAUCCUCCGCCUGGGUUUUGCCGUUGAAGGAAGCCAACCCUGCUCGAACAGGGACCAGAUCCGCAGGGGGGAGAAAUCCCUGCAUUUGUAACUUCGCCAAUCAACUGUGGGACACGGAGCACCUCUCCCACUCGCCUUUCUCCGGGUCGGAACGAGAGGAGGAGUUGGGAAUACUAGCCAUGUUGGAAUGGUCUUUCCUGGCAAUCUUUGAGGAUUUUCUCCGUAUGGUGUCGAAUGGAUAUGAGACCCAAUCUCUUUAAAUAGACGCUCUUUCCUGCAUGGCCAGGGUGUUAUUUGCAAAAAAAAUACCUUGACCGUCCGCAUUCGCCCGACACAUGGAAGCUGAAGUCAUCAAUGCACAGAAGCCGAGGGGCGUGGCCUUGAAUUAAAAACCGAAUACAUUACUUGGAAGUCGUCGAAGGAGGAACCCGCCUUGCAAUGCCGAAGACAAUCUGCGCGCCGAACACCUCGUCAUUGGAGCCUGGUUCGGGGGUGAUACGUCUCCAACGUAUCUAUAAUUUUUGAUUGUUCCAUGCUAUAUUAUAUUCUGUUUUGGACAUUAUUGGGCUUUAUUAUACACUUUUAUAUUAUUUUUGGGACUAACCUACUAACCGGAGGCCCAGCCCAGAAUUGUUGUUUUUUGCCUAUUUUAGGGUUUCGAAGAAAAGGAAUAUCAAACGGAGUCCAAACGGAAUGAAACCUUCGGGAACGUGAUUUUCGGAACGAACAUGAUCCAGAGGACUUGGACCCUAUACCAAGAAAUCAACCAGGAGGCCAUGAGGUAGGAGGGCGCGCCUACCCCUCAGACGCGCCCUCCACCCUCGUGGGCCCCCUGUUGCUCUACCGACGUACUACUUCCUCCUAUAUAUACCUACGUACCCCCAAACGAUCAGAAAUGGAGCCAAAACCCUAAUUCCACCGCCAUAACUUUCUGUUUCCACGAGAUCCCAUCUUGGGGCCUGUUCCGGAGCUCCGCCGAAAGGGGGCAUCGAUCACGGAGGGCUUCUACAUCAACACCAUAGCCCUUCCCAUGAAGUGUGAGUAGUUUACCUCAGACCUUCGGGUCCAUAGCUAUUAGCUCGAUGGCUUCUUCUCUCUUUUUGGAUCUCAAUACAAUGUUCUCCCCCCUCUCGUGGAGAUCUAUUCGAUGUAAUCUUCUUCUGCAGUGUGUUUGUUGAGACCGAUGAAUUGUGGGUUUAUGAUCAAGUUUAUCUAUGAACAAUAUUUGAAUCUUCUCUGAAUUCUUUUAUGUAUGAUUGGUUAUCUUUGCAAGUCUCUUCGAAUUAUCAGUUUGGUUUGGCCUACUAGAUUGAUCUUUCUUGCAAUGGGAUAAGUGCUUAGCUUUGGGUUCAAUCUUGCGGUGUCCUUUCCCAGUGACAAUAGGGGCAGCAAGGCACGUAUUGUAUUGUUGCCAUCGAGGAUAACAAGAUGGGGUUUUUAUCACAUUGCAUGAAUUUAUCCCUCUACAUCAUGGCAUCUUGCUUAAAGUGUUACUCUGUUCUUAUGAACUUAAUACUCUAGAUGCAUGCUGGAUAGCGGUCGAUGUGUAGAGUAAUAGUAGUAGAUGCAGGUAGGUCGGUCUACUUGUCUCGGACGUGAUGCCUGUAUACAUGAUCAUACCUAGAUAUUCUCAUAACUAUGCUCAAUUCUGUCAAUUGCUCAAUAGUAAUUUGUUUACCCGCCGUGAGUACUUAUGCUCUCGAGAGAAGCCACUAGUGAAACCUAUGCCCCCCGGGUCUAUCUUCCAUCAUAUUAAUCUUCCAACACUUAGUUAUUUUCAUUGCCUUUUAUUUUACUUUGCAUCUUUAUCAUAAAAGUACCAAAAAUAUUAUCUUAUCAUAUCUAUCAACUCUCACUCUUGUAAGUGACCGUGUAGGGAUUGACAACCCCUUAUCGCGUUGGUUGCGAGGAUUUAUUUGUUUUGUGUAGGUGCGAGGGACUCGCGCGUAGCCUCCUACUGGAUUGAUACCUUGGUUCUCAAAAACUGAGGGAAAUACUUACACUACUUUGCUGCAUCACCCUUUCCUCUUCAAAGGAAAACCAACGCAGUGCUCAAGAGGUAGCAAGAAGGAUUUCUGGCGCCGUUGCCGGGGAGGUCUACGCCAAAGUCAACAUACCAAGUACCCAUCACAACCCUUAUCUCCCGCAUUACAUUAUUUGCCAUUUGCCUCUCGUUUUCCUCUCCCCCACUUCACCCUUGCUGUUUUAUUUGCCCUCUCUUUUUCUCGCUCGCCUUUCUUCCGCCAUGUCUGAAUCAAAAAGGGUUGGGGGUUCUCUCCCUAGUUUUAGUACUUUGGAUAACCAUUCUAUUCUCGCUAAGCUCAUAAAUAAGGAUACUAUGGAAAAACCUACCGGAGUUAUCAAUGAGAAUCUUAAUAAUUUUGAUGAAGAUGAUUCCGGAAUUUUUCAUUAUUUACUUGAUGAAUCUUUGAAAGAUGCUUGGUAUAGACUAUUAAGGAUCAGGGCUAGCUAUGUGCCUCAAUACCAAAUUGAAAUUUACUUAAAAAGCUUUUAUAUUGCCCUUCCUUCUUCUUUUAAGCAUGUCUUAGAUUCUAUAUUUGAAGAAGGCUUUCUUGAAGGGGAUGCCGUAGACACUUAUGAGAAGAUGAAAGCCAUAUUUGGGCACCCCAUGAAUGAGAAAGUUGAAUCUACAUCUCUUUUGCUCUCUUACCAAAAUGAAUCUAUCAAAGAGAUGAAGGCUAGCAUAGAUACAAAUUUCCGUAACAUACUUAACCUUUACUAUACCAUUAAUAGCCAUGUGCUUUAUCAAAAUAGAAAGAUUAAUUCCAUAGAUAGCAAGUUUGCUCUUUUCUUCCCUAAAACCAAAGAUGUCAAUACCUAGAUCUAUUCUUGCUUUUUAUGCCAAGCUAGGGGCGUUAAACGAUAGCGCUUGUUGGCAGGCAACCCAAUUUUAUUUUUAUUCCUUGCUUUUUUCUCCUGUUUAGUAAUAAAUAAUUUAUCUAGCCUCUGUUUUGGUUGUAUUUUUUGUGUUUAAUUAGUGUUUGUGCCAAGUAGAACCGUUGGGAAGACUUGGGGAAAGUCUUGUUAAUCUUGCUGUAGAAAAACAGAAACUUUAGCGCUCACGAGAAUUGCUGCCAUUUUUAUUUGGAAAGUGAUAUUUAGUUAAUUCUUUUUGCAGAUGAUUAAUAGAUAAAUUAGUCACGACCAUACAUUUAUUUUAGAAUUUUUGGGGUUCCAUAUAUUGCGUUAGAUACAGAUUACUACUGACUGUUCUGUUUUUGACAGAUUCUGUUUUUCGUGUGUUGUUUGCUUAUUUUGAUGAAUCUAUGGCUAGUAAAAUAGUUUACAAACCAUAGAGAAGUUGGAAUACAGUAGGUUUAACACCAAUAUAAAUAAAGAAUGAGUUAAUUACAGUACCUUGAAGUGGUGUUUUGUUUUCUUUCGCUAACGGAGCUCACAAGAUUUUCCACUUUAAGUUUUGUGUUGUGAAGUUUUCAAGUUUUGGGUAAAGAUUUGAUGGAUCAUGGAACAAGGAGUGGCAAGAGCCUAAGCUGGGGGGAUGCCCAUGGCACCCCCAAGAUAAUCUAAGGACACCUAAAAGCCAAAGCUUGGGGAUGCCCCGGAAGGCAUCCCCUCUUUCGUCUACUUCUAUCGGUUACUUUACUUGGAGCUAUAUUUUUAUUUACCACAUGAUAUGUGUUUUGCUUGGAGAGUCUUGUAUUAUUUGAGUCUUUAUUUGUUAGUUUACCACAAUCAUCCUUGCUGUACACACCUUUUGAGAGAGACACACAUGAUUCGGAAAUUGUUAGAAUACUCUAUGUGCUUCACUUAUAUCUUUUGAGUUAUAUAGUUUUUGCUCUAGUGCUUCACUUAUAUCUUUUAGAGCGCGUCGGUGGAUUUGUUUUAUAGAAACUAUUGUUCUCUCAUGCUUCACUUAGAUUAUUUUGAGAGUCCUAAAUGGUAAUUUGUUUUAAUUAUGUUAGUCAUUCAAGAUUAAUAAUAAAAUUCUCUUAUGAGUGUGUUGAAUACUAUGAGAAGUUUGAUACUUGAUAAUUGUUUUACAUAUGGAGAUGGUAAUAUUAGAGUCAUGCUAGUUGAGUAGUUGUGAAUUUGAGAAAUACUUGUGUUAAAGUUUGUGAUUCCCAUAGCAUGCACGUAUGGUGAACCAUUAUGUGAUGAAGUCGGAACAUGAUUUAUUUAUUGAUUGUCUUCCUUAUGAGUGGCAGUCGGGGAUGAGCGAUGGUCUUUUCCUACCAAUCUAUCCCCCUAGGAGCAUGCACGUAAUACUUUGCUUUGAUAACUUGUAGAUUUUUGCAAUAAGUAUAUGAGUUCUUUAUGACUAAUGUUGAGUCCAGGGAUCAUACGCACUCUCAUCCUUCCCCCAUGCUAGCCUCUCUAAUACCGCGCACCUUUCGCCGGUAUCAUACACCCACCAUAUACCUUCCUCAAAACAUCCACUAUACCUACCUAUCAUGGCAUUUCCAUAGCCAUUCCGAGAUAUAUUGCCAUGCAACUUUCCAUCGUUCCGUUUACUAUGACACGCUCCAUCAUUGUCAUAUUGCUUUGUAUUAUCAUGUAGUUGACAUUGUAUUUGUGGCAAAGCCACCGUUCAUAAUUCUUUCAUACAUGUCACUCUUGAUUCAUUGAAUAUCCCGGUACACUGCCGGAGGCAUUCACAUAGAGUCAUAUUUUGUUCUAAGUAUUGAGUUGUAAUUGUUGAGUUGUAAGUAAAUAAAAGUGUGAUGAUCAUCAUUUUUAGAGCAUUGUUCCAAGUGAGGAAAGGAUGAUGGAGACUAUGAUUCCCGCACAAGUCAGGAUGAGACUCUGGACGAAAAAUAAUAAUAAUAAUAAUAAUAAUAAUAAUAAUAGUAAUAAUAAUAAUAAUAAUAAAGAGGCCAAAGAAGCCCAAAUAAAAAAGAGGCCAUAAAAAAGAAGGAAAAGGCUCAAAUAAAAAAAUGAGAGAAAAAGAGAGAAGGGACAAUGCUACUAUCCUUUUACCACACUUGUGCUUCAAAGUAGCACCAUGAUCUUCAUGAUAGAGAGUCUCCUAUGAUAUCACUUUCAUAUACUAGUGGGAAUUUUUCAUUAUAGAACUUGGCUUGCAUAUUCCAGUGAUGGGCUUUUUCAAAAUGCCCUAGGUCUUCGUGAGCAAGCGAGUUGGAUGCACACCCACUUAGUUUCUUUUGUUGAGCUUCCAUAUACUUAUAGCUCUAGUACAUCUGUUGCAUGGCAAUCCCUACUCACUCACAUUGAUAUCUAUUGAUGGGCAUCUCCAUAGCCCGUUGAUACGCCUAGUUGAUGUGAGACUAUCUUCUCCCUUUUUGUAUUCUCCACAACCACCAUUCUAUUCCACAUAUAGUGCUAUGUCCAUGGCUCACGCUCAUGUAUUGCAUGAAGAUUGAAAAAGUUUGAGAAUGUCAAAAGUAUGAAACAAUUGCUUGGCUUGUCAUCGGGGUUGUGCAUGAUUUAAAUACUUUGUGUGGUGGAGAUAGAGCAUAGCCAGACUAUACGAUUUUGUAGGGAUAACUUUCUUUGGCCAUGUUAUUUUGAAGAGACAUAAUUGCUUAGUUAGUAUGCUUGAAGUAUUAUUAUUUCUAUGUCAAUAUUGAACUUUUGUCUUGAAUCUUUCGGAUCUGAAUAUUCAUGCCACAAUUAAGAAGAAUUACAUUGGAAUUAUGCCUAGUAGCAUUCCACAUCAAAAAUUUUUUUUUAUCAUUUACCUACUCGAGGACGAGCAGGAAUUAAGCUUGGGGAUGCUUGAUACGUCUCCAACGUAUCUAUAAUUUUUUAUUGUUCCAUGCUAUAUUAUAUUCUGUUUUGGACAUUAUUGGGCUUUAUUAUACACUUUUAUAUUAUUUUUGGGACUAACCUACUAACCGGAGGCCCAACCCAGAAUUGUUGUUUUUUGCCUGUUUUAGGGUUUCGAAGAAAAGGGAUAUCAAACGGAGUCCAAACGGAAUGAAACCUUCAGGAACGUGAUUUUCGGAACGAACAUGAUCUAGAGGACUUGGACCCUACGUCAAGAAAUCAACCAGGAGGCCACGAGGUAGGGGGCGCGCCUAUCCCCCCAGGCACGCCCUCCACCCUCGUGGGCCCCUUGUUGAUCCACCGACGUACUCCUUCCUCCUAUAUAUACAUACGUACCCCCAAACGAUCAGAAACAGAGCCAAAACCCUAAUUCCACCGCCGUAACUUUCUGUAUCCAUGAGAUCCCAUCUUAGGGCCUGUUCCGGAGCUCCGCCGGAGGGGGCAUCGAUCACGAAGGGCUUCUACAUCAACACCAUAGCCCUUCCGAUGAAGUGUGAGUAGUUUACCUCAGACCUUCGGGUCCAUAGUUAUUAGCUAGAUGGCUUCUUCUCUCUUUUUGGAUCUCAAUACAAUGUUCUCCCCCCUCUCAUGGAGAUCUAUUCGAUAUAAUCUUCUUUUGCGGUGUGUUUGUUGAGACCAAUGAAUUGUGGGUUUAUGAUCAAGUUUAUCUAUGAACAAUAUUUGAAUCUUCUCUGAAUUCUUUUAUGUAUGAUUGGUUAUCUUUGCAAGUCUCUUCGAAUUAUCAGUUUGGUUUGGCCUACUAGAUUGAUCUUUCUUGCAAUGGGAAAAGUGCUUAGCUUUGAGUUCAAUCUUGCGGUGUCCUUUCCUAGUGACAGUAGGGGCAGCAAGGCACGUAUUGUAUUGUUGCCAUCGAGGAUAACAAGAUGUUUUUUAUCAUAUUGCAUGAAUUUGUCCCUCUACAUCAUGGCAUCUUGCUUAAAGCGUUACUCUGUUCUUAUGAACUUAAUACUCUAGAUGCAUGCUAGAUAGCGGACGAUGUGUGGAGUAAUAGUAGUAGAUGCAGGCAGGAGUCGGUCUACUUGUCUCGGACGUGAUGCCUAUAUACAUGAUCAUACCUAGAUAUUCUCAUAACUAUGCUCAAUUCUGUCAAUUGCUCAACAGUAAUUUGUUUACCCGCCGUGAAUACUUAUGCUCUCGAGAGAAGCCACUAGUGAAACCUAUGGCCCCCGGGUCUAUCUUCCAUCAUAUUAAUCUUCCAACACUUAGUUAUUUUCAUUGCCUUUUAUUUUACUUUGCAUCUUUAUCAUAAAAAUACCAAAAAUAUUAUCUUAUCAUAUCUAUCAGAUCUCACUCUCGUAAGUGACCGUGCAGGGAUUGACAACCCCCUAUCGCGUUGGUUGCGAGGAUUUAUUUGUUUUGUGUAGGUGCGAGGGACUCGCGCGUAGCCUCCUACUGGAUUGAUACCUUGGUUCUCAAAAACUGAGGGAAAUACUUACGCCACUUUGCUGCAUCACCCUUUCCUCUUCAAGAGAAAACCAACGCAGUGCUCAAGAGGUAGCAGGGGGCUACUGAGGGAGUCCUGGACUAAGGGGUCCUCGGGCGUCCGGUCUGUUAGCUAUGGGCGGACUGGUGGGCUGUGAAGAUACGAAGACCGAAGACAGCACCCGUGUCCGGAUAAGACUCUUCUUGGCGUGGAAGACAAGCUUGGCGACUAGAUAUGUAGAUUCCUUUCUUUGUAACCGACCUUGUGUAACCCUAGAUCCUCAUGGUGUCUAUAUAAACCGGAGGACUCAGUCCGGAGGACAGACAUUACCAUAACCAUACAAGUUAGGCCUCUAGGGUUUAGCUAUUACGAUAUCAUGGUAGAUCAACUCUUAUAAUACUCAUAUUCAUCAAGAUCAAUCAAGUAGGCCGUAGGGUAUUACCUUUAUAGAGAGGGCCCGAACCUGAGUAAAACAUUGUGUCCCCUGUCUCCUGUUACCAUCGACCUUAGACGCACAGUUCGGGACCCCUAUCCGAGAUCCGCCGGUUUUGACACCGACAAGGAGCUCCCCCCACCUGAAUAUAUUACUGAAACGUGUCACGGCAAGCUGUGUUACAGAAUUACAUGGGCACAUUACAGCGUGCAAAGAGAAAAAUCUGCCACGAGGAGGCAUCUUCCUUGUCACAUGACAUAGAGAGCUUAUGUGACCACAGGUCUACAUAAGAGAUGAUGAGUCUAGAGAAGGUAGUCGAGCGCCUAUCUAUGGCCCUAAAGGCUUUUUUUCAAUAUAGAUAGAUAGGUCCUGAAGGACCUGGAAAGCUUCACUAGUAUUCAGCGUUAUAGUACAUAGCUCAUACAAGGACUCAAAGAAAAUGAAAAUAGCAUCUAAGUCUCUAACUUUUACAAGAAGGAGCCCAAACUGGAAAGUAGAAUUGCAAUCGGGUCCUGAACAACCUCCGCCCAGAUGAAGCCUCGCCGUCGCCGGAACGAAUCACUUGGGAUGCCGAAACCUUCACAGUAGAGAGAAGGCGCUAUGAACACCGAGCGGAAGAUGAGACUACCUCCCUUAUGUCAAUAUGUCCGGGAGGAAAUAAAUGGCCGCCCUUUGGCCCGAAGAGACGACGACACGAUGGUGAAGACCGGCAGCCAGUAGGUGCCGUUGCUCCACGUAGAACUGCCGCCACUGAUGAUCCCCACUCCCAUCUGCAAGAACCACAUACAGAUCCCCUUCCUUUCGAGCUCCCCGUCCACCUCCAUGGUGGCCUCAAGAUGUAGAAGAAGAGGAUGGAGCCUUCUCCAAAUCAGGGAACCAACGCGCUUAUUUAGGGAGCUAGCUCCAGAUCCGUCCCCUUCUCUUUGCCUCCACCAUGGAGGAAGAGCAGAGGGCGACGUCGAAGACCACUAGUCGCUACACGGGAGCGACGGCGGGUUGCGCUCCAACGGCAUCGCGCCAGACGACAACAAGUCAACCACACACCAAAGCCUAAAAUUACUAUUUACAGAUUAGCACCAAGCUCCUCCCCCAUCUCUUCUCCGGCCAGCCUCGCCGGCGGCGAAGAUCCGCGACCAGGCCGGGCCAGAUCUCACUGAGUCGACUCUCAAAAUCUUGGGCGGCUGUAAGGGAGGAGAGGACCAUCGCUAUGUGCAGAUAAUGCUUAUUUGGAAGCAUGCUCAAUAGGGGAAGAGGAGGUGGUAGCCCAUGAAUAUCUAAGGGUGCAUGAGUUAUUUUUAUCUGCACGUAAACGUGUACGGUUUUCUGGUUUUGACCUAUCCCCGAGUUUCUUCAUCAUUUAAAAGAGAAUCUUAAAUACCAUGGUGCAGAGUGGGGUCUGCGAGAUGAGAUUCGACCCAUCAAUGGUCAAUAACAGACCAAAGUAAUGUAAUAAUCACGACUGACUAGCUUCGAUCACUUAGACUAGCCACAGUGAGAGUAACUUCAACAGUAACUUCAAGUCCAACUAAGCAAAUUUGUCUAUGUGUCAAUAAGUUAAUGAAGAGAGCGGUAGUUCUAGUAACUUAGCUAGUUACUGUAACAUCACAUGUCCCAAUGCAGUAUGAGUCUAUAACAUAAUAAAUGGAGCUUUGCAUGACACCACACCUAUGUUACUACCCACUAUGAAGGUAGUAACAUAAUCUAGGGAUAUGUGUAUGUUACUAGUGUAUGUUACUCUCCAUUGUGGCUAGUCUUAAUCUUUCUAGGGGGCAGCAUUUAAAACAAGUUACUUACGUAAGUAGAUAACGGUGGACAACCAUAAGAAUAUAGUUAAGUAGUAACAAAAACAAAUAAAUCUAUAAAUCUUUCUUCAUUAAAUCAUAUCUGGACACUUGACUAUACAUUAGAAGCAACAUGCAUAUCCCAACAUAGUGCAAGGGCGAUGUAAAGAAUGAUUGAAAAAACACUUCACUUGGCCCUCGCGUCGCUCCCUUCCCAGGGGCGACACGGGCGGCGACCAAGCAGCCAAGGCCUCCGGCCGCCCCACUCCAUCCACUCCCUCGCCGUCGCCGGCGCCUCCCGGGGGCAAAGCUCGUGCGGAGCAGGCGACGGCGGGGCUAGUUUCCGCGAUGGGCGACGCCUCGCGAGCGGGGAUCUCUGGGCGGCGCAGCGGUGGGCGGCGGGUGGCGUAGCGGCGGGCGGAGGACGAUGGAUGGCGGCGCGUCUGGGACUCCGGCGGGCAGUGACUUCGCCGGCCGUAGGCGCUGGUGGCGGUUGUAAGGCGUCGGCUGCUGCUCGCUUUUGGGGAACGGAUCCGCCCGGAUCUGGCUUCCCUGUAGCGGUUGCGCCUUGCUCGUCGGCGUUGGAUCGCUGGGGCGGCGGCCCCAGGACGUGGUGGUGUCGUCGUGUCCGGCGGCAGCCUGCGAGGCGGUGGAUUCGGGGCCCUUGCGCCCGGAUCUGGUGGUGAGGCGGGCCGUCGGCCUAUGGCGGCGGUCCGGCAGAAGCGUGCCUGCUCCGGUCCACCGGGGUGGCGGGGAGGUGCGUGGGGUCAGGGCAGUGGUGGUGCGGCCCUGCGUGCUGGGCGGCCGCGGUCUCGUCGGCGCCGUUGUGGAGGGAGGUGGGCUGCAGUGGUUUCUGCAGCCGGUGGUGGUUGGCAGCGACGUGCUGCCUUGUCUGCUUGGUCAUGUGGCUGGGCGAGGACGGUCGGCAUGAUGCCGGAGACGGUUUGCUGGGUAGGCUGCGGUGAGGAUGGAUCUGGUAAGCUCCGAGCGAAAGCCUAGCUCGACCUCGGUCGUUGCCGGCGUUGACGGCGUCCUCGGACGUCGUUCCCUCCUUGGAGGCGUCGUCGUGGAGCCCCUUCACCACCAUUGUCGCCUCGGUCUCGGGCUCUCCGAGUGAAAACCCAAGUUUCGACCUUGAUUGGAACGGGCAUCGGCGGCAUUCUUGUCGCUUCCCUCUUGGGGGCGACGCCUUGGAGGUCUGGUCCUCGUCAGCUCGCGGUGGCUCGGGUGGCUUUGUGGGUUCUUCGUCGGCCAGGCGUGUGCGCGACCUCGGGGCCGGUGAGGAAGUCGGAGCAGCGGCUCCGAAGAACAUUGUCGUGGAGUGUCUGAACUGGUCGCGUGGGCGGCAGCGUCAUCAGCUUAGGUGAAGCGUGGCCUCGGGGCCGGCGGAGAAGUCGGAGCGGCGGCUCUGGAGAGCACCCCUGUGCUGUGGAGUGUCGGUUCUGGUCGUGUGGACGGCGGAGUCGUCGACUCGUGUGGAGUGCGGCCUCGGGGCCGACGUGUGUGAGUUUUUUUUUGUGGUUUGUAAGCCGGAGUGGCGGCUCCGGGUCGUGUGGUGGAGUGGCAACUCUGGUUGUUUGGGCAACAGGGGAGUCGGCUCGCUAGGGACGCAGCCUCGGGGCUGGUGUGUGUCGAUGUAUCGGUUUUUGGCCAAUUUUCCUUAUAAAUUGGUCAAUUCUCUUCUUCUUAAUGCAAAGGCAGAGCUUCUGCUGUUUUCUCGAAAAAAAAGAAUGAUUGAAUAUUUAUUUCUUCGUUGGUCCAAAUCGCCUGUUUUUGUGGCGUUGGUUAUUGAGGACCAAACUACUUACUAGCACCUCCACCUCAUUAGCUGGACUAGCGACAGCUUCCGCACCUUCAUCUGCUCCUCCAAAUCAUUCUACUCAACUACGUACCUAUACUCCCAAUAUGUCCGUCCAUGUCUCCUUCUAUUAAUAUACAAUUAAAAACUCACCAUAAAAUUUCAUGUUAAUUGUAGGAAUAAGAAUUAUUUGAGUCAUCGGUCCAAGUUAGAAUAACAUACUUGAACUUCAGGGGAAUUGGCUCAACCCACAUAGCAAAAAGAAUGAAAGAAAAACAUUAUCCAAUGUUUCUUUAUGAAAAGACACAUCCCCAUAAAUGUCUAUAACUCCAUAAACUAAUUGCUUCUUUUGGCCAUGUCAUCCAUUUAGUAUAUAUUCUCCCAUGUGUGUGCCCCAACCCCAGGUCUUGAAAGCAAGAAGAAAAUGAACACAACUUUUAAGUUGUUGUCAUCUUGUUCGUAGCAUGUGUACUCUACGCUUUUAGUGAAUUCAAGAUUCGCAUUGAGUAUAAAACCAUAUUAUGAAGAGUGGCACAAGCAAAGUACUUUGGUCUGAACUCCAUAGACAAAUCCUAAGCCAAAAGCCUCAGAAAUCCACUCCAUAGCCAUUUUUUGCAUGAGUUUCUCUAAGCCCAAGUAAUUUCAAUGAUCAUCCUCUGGUACUAAUGAGCCACAUGGUUAUUCAUACUCAGAGAACAAAGCCAGUUUCAACAAUUCGGAGCCCUUUUUUUUGUUCCGAUACUACCGAGCCAUUUCAUUUUGAAACAUACUUAGAUAACUAGGUAUUUCAUUGAUUCAGAAGUGUUGCUAGAAGUUCGCUCACUAAUUCGAGGCCAUCUUCAGGACAAAGUUCUAGGUGAAGUCACUCGGAACUGCCAUUGUCCCCGAACUUCCUUUUUGUGGGAAACGAAAAAAUUGUGUUUUCGUUGCAGAUGGCAACGACAGGUGAAAUUCGUCCUUGUGGGCCACCCAUUUCGUUCCUGGCGGCACCCACAGGGUGACAGAAGUGAAAUUUCUGGGAUCAUGAUGAUAGUUUUGUGAUUUAGUAAAAAAGAAUAUUUUCACCUAAAAAAUAAAAAAAUAUAGGGAAAAAAGACGAAACAGUGUUCGGCCCACUUUACACGUUUUGGAACUGCAAGGCCCAUCGAAUUCUUAGGGUGCAGAGAGGCCACAAGUUUCUAAAAAGAAAAGGCAGAGAGGCCACAAGAAAAUGGAAGCAGCAGCAGCACGAGCGCGAGCACCAAUGGCGUCGAUCUCGAGCUUGGAUUUGGGAAAGAUCGUGCCCGGCGCCGGCUUCCUCCUCCACCGCCACGCCGCCGUUCCCAGCGCCCCUGUUCUCCGGGGGAGGAGCGCGAGCGGGCGGUGCGGCCUCGCUGUCUCGGUCUCGUUCUCCAAUGGUAGGUCUGCUCCGUGCAAUUGUUUGUGAUGUUGGAGCUGAGUUCAGUCAUAGUAAUGAGGUGCGAGGAUUCGAAUAUUAGUAUUACUGCUCUUACCGAUUUCAUGGUCCAUUCUGAAGCCAUAGCGAUUCAGUUGACUCCGGUAAUAAUUUAAUUCCAACUUCUUCGCUACUAAUCCUGAGCAGGUAAAAUUAGAGAUCCAUUUGGAGGGAGAUCGCAUGUAAAUGGUGUCCAGUUGGGCGUUGUUGAGAUUAAUCAUGGUGUUGAAUAUUCAGUUACAAACUUGUAAUUUCAGGUGCCUAUUUCUGAUGUUUAAGUUCAGACUCUGCGCUUGAACAUAUACUGAAGUAACAAUGGCUCAUAUUUAACGGUGUAGGUUCAGCUGGGCUCUCCCCACUGAGUGACUCGGAGAAGAAAUGCCCUGUGGUGAUGGAGAUCCCGCUGGAAGAUAUCCGGAGGCCGCUAUUUCAAACGCGUGCUAAUGAUCCCGAUAAGGUGCAGGAGCUCAUCGACAGCAUCCGUGUCAUCGGCCUCCAAGUACCUGUGGGCAUCUUUUCCUUUAACAUUAAUUUUACCAAAAUUAUUUUCUUUUAGCUCAUAUAAGAUAAAUUAUAUUAGAACUUGAAUUUUCUUGUGUGGAAUGGAGUACAUACAAAUAAAGUUAUAGAGUAGCUAAUACAUGGCCGACCACUGCUACUGAAUUCAGUGAUCUCCACACAGUUGUCUGAGGACGUUUGUGCUAUGGUUGAUUGAGAUUCACUUGAUUGAGUAUGCGUGUCAAUAUUUAAGUUGGGUUGUUUACAUGCAUGUUCUGCGUACAACAUCACAAAGUACAGAUGCAUUUUUUGCCCAUGAGAUCUGGCACUAUUAUGUCUAGAAUAAGAUUUUCCAAGCUCAUUUUGACAUGUGAAGUCUAUUCACCUGCGCUCCUCUGAAUCAGUCUUAGUUGAAAGGAAGUGUGCCCCUUAUGCCCGGAUCAGCGGCUUUAUUAUUUCAACAGAGGCUCUAUUAUGUCUAAGAUUGGAUCUAAUCUAGGUCUAAACUAGGGCUUUACUUUUGUUAUCUUGGCCGUCGAAGUAGAAGGUGCCCCCUUCUGAUUCGGGCACACGGGUAUUUAUACCUGGUCUUGAGUCGGUUGGACGCCUUCCUUUCCUGGUCUCCUAGUUGCGAACACCUUGAGCCUCCCAAUCUUGAUCUCUGAAUGGUCGACGUCUCGGCCUCUUUCCAGUGUGACUGGUGAACUUCCUUUUGCCUGAGGCCUUGAUUAUAGAUGUUCUCUUUAGCAUACAAGUUUCGCCCUUUUAGAGGUAACAUUAAGGGUUUGAGCGACUCUGAACAGGGCCUGGCAUGAUGUGGUAUGGGUAAUUUUAACUUCCCGCCGACAUAGACCAGGGCCGGUGAGUUGAGAUUCCACCCAUUAACAACCAACAUCACAAUGAUGAGACCAAAGGAAUGAGUAGCUCCCAUCACUCAACCUCUCUAGGAGGCACUUUUUGAAAGAAAUAACUGAAAUUAGUAGAUAACGGUAGACAACAAUAAGUCUAUAGUUCAGUAAAAAAAAACUAAACCUGUAAAUCUGUAUCUAUUAAUUCAUAUCGGAACACUUGCUAAAGCACUAUACAUGGCAGAAGCAACAUGCACGCAUAAAAACAGUGCAAAGACAAAAAAACUAAUUGGGGAAAACGACAAGGACGUAACAAAUAAUUGAGUGUGUCUUUCUUCCUUGGCCUGAAGCACCCAUUUUUGUGGAAUUGCUAAUUGAUGACCGAAUCGCUUCUAUAGCACCUCCACCUCAUUAUCUUGGACUAGCGGCAUCUCCCACUUCGCCAUCUCAGCCUCCUACUCAUUCUUCUCAACUGUCCGUACUUCCAAUAUGUCAUUCCAUGUCUCCAUCAAUUACUAUACUGAUUACAAGACUCCCCAUAAAUCCUCAUGUUAAUGGGAGAAAAUACGAGAGAUUUGAGCCAACGGUCCAAUCUACAAUGCUGCAAAUGAACCUCAAGGGGACUGGAUCAACUCAUGUAGCCAAAAGAAGGAAAGAAAAACACUCUCCAAUGUUUCUUUAUGAAAUGACCCAUUCUGAGAAAUGUUCAUCUACUAAUUUCUUCUUUUGGCCAUCCCUGCCAUUUCAUAUAUAAUCUUCCAAGCCUACGUCCCAACCUAGGUCUUUAGAGCAAGAAGAACGUAACAUGAAAAUACCUCAAUAAAUGCCAAUCGUGCCCCUGAUCUCUUCAUUCUCCAUUCUCAGAGACACAAAUUUAAUAUUAUGGAGAGUGUUGGGAUUUAAAAUGAUGGUGAGGGUAAGAUUUUUAUAACUGUUUGGUUUCUUUGUUUGACCCCCUAGUGACAAACUGUGAACUACAGUAACGGUGAAAUAUGAAAUCCUUAAUUUUAAUUUAUAUCAAAUAUACAAGUCUAUCAUCAUAUUUAUAUAUAGGCAUUACAUUGCCGCAAUGCAGUAACACCACACAAUAUUUAAUCUCUAGGGGCUCUUGGACGGAAAACAGGAAGAGCCAAUAUGCAUGCUUUAGAUAAACUAGUGUUAGUAUAGUAUAGGAUCUGACUAUCAAGUAGAACGUCUGAUUUUCAAGUAAUUCGGCAACUGAAUCUUAUUUGAUGUAGUCAACGAAUAGUUAACCUUUUGCUAAGAUUCCUGUUCUUUUUCAUGGGGUGAUUGCAAUCUCGUAAUGGCAAAUUAUGAUACAACAGUCAGGGCCACGUAUUGAGACAACAUGUACGCUUUCGUAUGGUAAUACAACAAAUAUAUAUAGUCUUACAAAACAAGGGAGAUGACAAAAACUUAUUUUUAGCAUGACAAAAACUAUUAAGAUGAUGAGACUAUCAAAGGUGAAAGAUUAUAUAUAUAUAUAUAUAUAUAUAUAUAUAGAAACAGAACUAUUUAUUCACUUGUUAAACACACAUGCCGGCUAUAAUGUCUUGUUGCCAUCUUUAGGAGGACAAUCCGUUUAUUCAUGAGACACAUGCCUAGCUAGCAUUCCAAACAUGGCCCAAGCCUAAGAUCUACUACAUCUUGUUCAUACAUUGCUAAGAUAAAAAUAAGCUGACCCUUGUUGGCCAUCAGGCACAUAGUUUCCUACCCCGCCCAUUACAGCUGCAGUAGAACCCAUCAUCUGCUGCUCACAGCACAUUGGCUGCUGGCCCACUUGUUGAUUAUAUAUGGAAGGGGAGCACUGAGCUAGGUUGUUCAUGACUGCGAACGAGCUCGUCGGAGCCUGCAACCUAAAGCUUGGGUCAUUGUUGAGGCUGGUGAAAGAAAGGGUUUGCCGAGGGGCAGAACUAUUAUUUGCUGCCAAUAGCUCGUUGUCAUGGAGCCUGACAUCAUUGAUGCUGUAACGCUUUGUCCCUGACAAUGCCUUUUUCUCUAUUCUCUUGAAAAACUUUUGUGCAUGGCUUGAAACUUGGACAGGGGUCUUAGUGGUGACGAAGUGCUUGGAUAUGUUUUUCCAGUCGCCACGACCAUAGACUUCCAGCCCAUAAAGAAAUGACCUGUGGACAUAAUGUUCACAAGAAUUGUUAGGUUAAAUUGUUUACUGAAAGAUGAAUCGUGCAGUUGUUUUAUUGAAGCACCUAGUAUAGAUUGAAGCAAAGUACCUAUUUGACAGGUUCGAAUGACUACAGCAACACAUGCUUAUUUUUGUUGAUUUACGGGUACGGGAUAGAUCGCAAGUAUAUCAGAAAUUCAUAAGUGAACGAACAUUUUGUAACAUAUUGAUCACCGAAAGAUAUUACAAUUUCAAAAUUAUCAUACCUCUAUUUUUCUAUAAUGAAACGGCAAUCAUCAAAGUUUAUUGAUCUGUUUGAUUGGGACAAGACGUACCAUAUUGCAAUUUAAUGGCCUAUUUAACUGCCUUUCUAUUUUUUAAUCAAGGUCCAAUCACAUCAAAAAUUUAAGGUAGAAAGAAAUUUCAUCAAUAUCUAAUUUGCAGGGAUUAGUAUUUAUCAAAAAUGUAAACUGUAAACGUCCAUGUAUACAUCUAGUAAAGUGCAAUAUCAUUGCAAAUUUAACAUACUUGCCUCAUAAAAUUAAUUUCAGACACGCUUAAUUAUCAUAUGUUGAUUUUAAAUAAAGGACAACUAAAACUAAUGACGACGAAGAGUAUAGGCAUUGACUAACUUGUGUUCCUCUUUGGUCCAAAACUUUCGUUGAUGUGGGGCAACAACUGGUCGAUCAUUGGAACUAUUGUUCUCCAAGACCACCAUUUUGUUCUUGUCUACCAUCACCGGAGCCUCCUCCGUCUUCCUGAUUCUUGUAUCCUCCAGUAUACAAUGAAAUGAAAAUCCACUAACAUCCAUGGUCACCUCCUCAUCCUCUUGUACCUCAAUGUUUUCAUUAACAAGGCCGCCCAUGCUGUAAAUGGAAAUUGACAGUGUCCGUGUGUACAUUUAGUAAAGUACAAUAUCAUCACAAACAUAAGCUGUUGUUAUCACAUAAUAAAUUUGCACAACAUUUUUAAUUAGUAUAUGUUCGCUGAAAACAAACAACAAUUAAAACUACAUGACAAAGAAGAGUAUACAACCAUGGACGAACCUGUGUUCCUCAUCGGUCAAAAAACCCCAUUGAUGUGGGGCAACAAUUGGUUGAUCUAUGGAAAUAUUGUUCUCCAACACCUCCAUCUUGUUGUUGUCUGCCAUCAGCGGUGCCUCACCCAUCACCGUGAUCCUCGUAUCCUCCAUUGCACAACCAAAGGACAAUCCGUUAUUGUCCAUGAUUGUUGUCUCCUCCUCCCGUACCCCAAAGUUUUCAUUUGCAUGGUCACCCAUGGGGUAGACACUGUGUGUGCUGCUACCACCAUUCUCCUCCUUCGGUAGCUCAUAGUUACCGUUGACAGGGUCACAAAAGGUGAAAAUGUUUUGUGGGCUACCACCAGUAACAUGGGUCCCCUCCCUCCGCUGGAUCAUAUGCAUGUCCAUGGCGAGAUCAACAUAAAGAUCUAUUACCUGUUUCAUGGUCUUUGAAGGAAACAAUGCAUGGAGAGAAUUCACGAUGUAGUUGUGCUUCUUGUUAUUGUCAUCGUCGUCGUACAUGAUUUUGUUGGUGUUGAUCCUAGCAAUGAGUGAGCAUGCCUCCUCUACAUCGGAUGAGGUCCACCCCUGGUUGGCUAUUGGAUCCAUGAGAGAGUGGGUAGUUGAACGCUAUAGAAUUAUGAGGAGUAUGAACUAUGAAGAUGGGUUAUAGCUUGGGGAUGGAGAGACUCUGAGAGUAAGAUAGUGUAUUUAUAGCCAUCUUGUGUGCAGUCCUACUUUUGCUAAUUAAUUUGGCACAUUGAUAGUUUGUCGGUCCAUACAAAAGUAGAUUGAACUAUAGUCAAGAUAAAUCGUUUGACCCUUUGAGGAACACGCCAAACUAUUCUAAGUUGACCUCGUCAUUGUGUCUUUCUUUGAAAAAGAUUUUUUUUAUUUUGCCAAUGCAAGAAGAUUGCUAGAAACAACACAUGCAGGCCUAUUGAGUAUUGAUCAAUUUCGGUCUAGAUAGAUAGAACAUGCAUCUUGUGCGCAUGCAUGACAUGUGCUCUCAUCUAGAGUGCAAGACUCAAACCAUGGUGUCCGCCGCUCUCAAAUAUGCAUGGCACACAGGAUAUACCCAUUCGGUUUUGGUUGCUAGUGACCCAUGCAUCAGUGGAGUUUUAUUGCAUACAUAUGUGCAAAUAAUAGAUUAAUAUCUCCCCACGAUAACUAGGCUGCAUAUAGGAUCCACACAUUACCAGCAAAUGUAAGCAUAUCUCUUCUCUUAAUUUUGGUGACCAUUCUUCCCACACCGAGAGCACGAAAUUCCAUCUAUAGGCAGAUUUCUUGGCUUAGGUCAUUUAAUGGCACUUCAUGGUAAAAAAGAUUUAAUACAUGGGCCAAUCAAUUGUGUACGUAUCUAGAUAUCUUUUUUAUGUAGAGAUACAAAUUAAUGACCCAUGAGGUCAAUAAAUUUGACACACUUAUCUUACAUCUCUCUCCCUCUCUCUCUCUCUCAUGUUCAAAAUAAUUUCAAGAUUUCUACAUGAUAUACACAACACAUAGAGGUUGCAAAACGAACAUAGCUUUUUUAAGUGCAUGAUGCAUCUUCUGGCUAUCAUAUGGGACUAUGUGCAUACUCAUGCACUCAUAUGCCAAUGUUUCAGCCAUGUCCAUAAAUGCUUUUUUUGCUUUGUAGUUUUAAACUAAGUUUUAAUAUUGUGUACAAGUUAAUAAAGUGGAUUGAAUAAAUGCUUGUUUUACAUCAAUGAUAACCGGCUUCACAACUGUAUUUUUUUUCUAGUGAAGGAAAAAAAUCAUAACGUAGGAGUAUUAACUUUCAGCCGAUUGUUUGGCCAGAUUGCUAACUGAUAAAUCAUAGGAGAUUAAAUUCUAAGAUAGCAUUGUAUGUUUAGUUUAUAAUAUGGAAAUUUUUGCCUAAUUAAUAUGCUUCAUACCAACACCAAGUCUACAUCGGUGGAGCCAGAUAGUCAUGAUAACUACAGUCGGGAAGUCGCUUGACGUUGCUAGAGAUACUGGUGACGACAAUCUGAAGCACAUACCUUCAACAUGGAGAACAAAGGUGAAGGCGAGGCGAGGAGACCCAACCCACAAUGUCGAUGAUAUAUGCUCCCUACCAGGACUUAUUGACGAGAGUACGAGCGCCGCAGUGGAUCAAGGUGGAAGCAUUGUGGUUGACGACUCUCCCUCCCCCCUACACCGUUAUGGUAGAUAUAAAUUGUUUUUAUCCAGAUUCAACUAUUUUGCUCAAUGGAUUAUAUCUUCAACAUACAUUUCCAACAUAAUAAAACUUCUAAUUUCCUUAUAUUGAGCUGAAAGGGGGAAAUAAAUGGAUUUCUAGUCAAAUGCAACAAUUUGCAGAAUUAGUUCGGGCUGCUUUGUAACCAGAUGGUGUUUUUGCAACAAUCAAUGGUGUUGGUUCACUUUUUGCCUUGCUUUUCAAAAACAUAUACAAUCAAAACGAUUACUGGUUUUAUGUUAAGCAAUGCAUAUAUUCGUUUUUUUCAUUUUCCAUUUUUUACAUAUAUUUUACAAUUUUUAUUUUAGUUUACCAUCUUCACUUCCUUUUUAUUGUUGAUUCCCUUUCUUCUUAGGUUUUUUAUCAUUUAUUGUGUACCCUACAUAUCGCACUCCCUUUAUGUUUUCUUCUUUAUUGUAUCUUUUCCACUGGUUGAUUUGUUCAUUAUGUUUGUUAUACAUUCCUAAGGUAGUCCACAAACCUUUUAUUAUUGCUUCUAGUUUGUUGUCGAUCAACCACAUCAAUUUUGUUAAGACGGUGUGUGUGUGAAGUUAUUUAAUUAGUAUUCAACAUGGAAAUUUGAAAAGUGAAAUAUUUUAAUCUCAUCGAGAAUACUUUUUCACAAGGAUGGAGAAUUUAAUUUUGUUGGAUAAAUGAACCCCUCUGAUCAUGAAACAUUUAUUUGUCAUAUAUUACUAUUUUUUAUAAAAUAGGCCUCACUCUAUCGUCUCACACCUUCCUCCAAUGAAAGGUCGCUAGGAUUUUUGCAUAAGUGUCGCUGCCAGGUUCACUUGACUCUAGGGGCCUUUCAGUGCCAGCGAGGUGGGGGAACCCCGGUUUUGUUUGGCUAUGUUUGGGUCACUCAAGAUCUAGGUAUGGCUCAAUCUAGGUGUCUAGUCGUCAGUGGCAAAAAACAUUAGUUUGGAAUGUAAAAUUAUAGUGCAUUGAUGGUAAAAUAGAGGGGGGGUGGGGGUGAAGAAUAACUAUUCCAUACUCAGGGUGACGAAUAGUCAAUCCCAGUGAUACUAUUCAUCACCCAAGGUACAAAAUAAGUUAUUAUUCACCCAAGGUAAUCUUACAAUUAUUUUAUAAUUAAAUUACGUUUAGAAUUUUAAUAGUUACAUUCCUAUUGAUUCACUAUGUAAAAUUUGGCAUAAUAAAAUAAAAAUAUAUGUCAUAAGAUAAGAAAAUUUGUAUUUUAUGUGUAUUUUACAUUAUGUUUUUACGUCUGUAAUUUUACAUAAUAUAAAAUAAUUUUUACAAUGAUUAUAUAUUUUCUUACGCUCUCUUUUUACGUCGGAAAUAAGACAAAAUUUACGGAACAUAAAAUUAUGGUGCAUUGAUGCUAAAAUAAAGGGUGAAGAAUAANNNNNNNNNNNNNNNNNNNNNNNNNNNNNNNNNNNNNNNNNNNNNNNNNNNNNNNNNNNNNNNNNNNNNNNNNNNNNNNNNNNNNNNNNNNNNNNNNNNNNNNNNNNNNNNNNNNNNNNNNNNNNNNNNNNNNNNNNNNNNNNNNNNNNNNNNNNNNNNNNNNNNNNNNNNNNNNNNNNNNNNNNNNNNNNNNNNNNNNNNNNNNNNNNNNNNNNNNNNNNNNNNNNNNNNNNNNNNNNNNNNNNNNNNNNNNNNNNNNNNNNNNNNNNNNNNNNNNNNNNNNNNNNNNNNNNNNNNNNNNNNNNNNNNNNNNNNNNNNNNNNNNNNNNNNNNNNNNNNNNNNNNNNNNNNNNNNNNNNNNNNNNNNUAUAUAUAGGGUCGUGCUAUUCGUCAUCCUGGAUGAGGAAUAGUUAUUCUUCACCCCCUUCUAUUUUACCAUCAAUGCACCCCCUUAUAUAUAUAGUUGCUAUUCAUCACCCAGGGUGCAGAAUAAAUUAUUCUUCAUUCGAGGUAAUCUUACGAUCGGUUCCUAAAUAAAUUACGUUUAUAAUAUAAAUAGUUACAUGCAUAUUGAUUAAAUAUCUAAAAUUUGGUAUAAAAAUAGAUUAUAAGACCAGAAAAAUCACAUUUUAUGUACGUUUUACACUAUGUUCUUACAUUCGUAAUUUUAUGUAACAUAAAAUAUUUUUUACGCAAGUAUAUUUUUUUUUACGUUCUCUCUUUAUGUAUAAAAUAAGACAAAAUUUACGAAACGUGAAAAUACGUUGCAUUGAUGUCAAAUUAGAGAGGGGGUGAAGAAUAAUUAUUUCUCACCCAGGGUGACGAAUAGCGCGACCCUAUAUGAUCACGGGAUUAGAAUAUUAUUCUGAUCACAACUUGAACUUCCUGAGUUACACAAUAUGAACUUCUCCCUGUACGAACCCGACCUUCGGGUUAUCUUCGCAACCGUGUCUUCCCGCAUGAAUUAUUCUAGUCGGUCAUGUUCUAUAUGAUGUAAGUGUAAUCUAGAAACGGUUUUAAGCAACUAAAUGCCCAUUUUAAAUAGGAAUCUCCCUCAUUGGCGGAUUUUUCUUUCGGGUCAUGAUGAACUUGCGUCUUUUGUAAUUUUAUUGUCUGAGUUUUUUGACCGAAACUUCCCCUGAGGCUAGGUUGAACUUCCGCCAACAUUGUUCAAAUGGAGCUUGUGAUAUACCGUUGGAAAGCAAUGGACACGAGUAUCAUGACCCAAGUUAAUUUUUUGACAAAAUGCAAGCAGUUUAAAAGCAUUUUUAAAAAUCAUUUUUUCUUCAUACGAAAAACGUGAAUCGUAUUUUCGAUUGCAUUUUUAAACCGUUUAGCGGAAUGAGGCAAAUAAUAUGGCGUUGGAAAGCUGCUGCAAAACCGCUCCUUCCACAUGUUGAAAGUUUCUCUAAUUCCCACUGGUUAAAGAGUAAUUUGGAAAAUCCUAAAAUUUCGCAAACUGAACAGCCGAUUUCAUAUUUUGGAUGUCAUUUCUAAACGGCUAAUCCAAUUGAGGCAAAUGAUAUGGCGUUGGAAAGCUUAUGAAAAUGUACUACCUUUUCAUGUUGAAAGGUUUUUCUAAUUUUGAACGGUUUAAAAUUAAUUUAGAAAAGGUACAAGUUUCAUUGAGUUCGUAUUUUUGAGCUAAUAUUUUAACCGUACAUCCGAAUGUAGCAAAUGAUAUGGCAUUGGAAAGCCUGAAAAAAUGUGAAACUUUUUGGUAUAUAUUGUUUCUCCCAAUUCUUUACGGUUUUAAUUCAAUUUUAAAAAUGACUAAAAAUGCAUUUUCGCCGUAAUUUCUACAAACUUUAUCGGAAUUGGGCAAAUAAUAUACCGUUGAAAAGCUAUGGAAAAUAUGCAACUUUUUCAUGUUGAUGUUUUCUUUGAUUCCUAGCUAUUUUAAGUAAUUUUAAAACGGCGAGAUCAUUUGUUCUGCCUUUAUCACGAAACAUAUUCUUCGAAAAUGCACCGCGUGAAGAACUUGAACUUCUUGGCAUGUGUACUUGAACUUCGUUCUGUUUUCACAUGCUUUUUUUGCUCGUACCUCUCCAUCCACUCACCGAAAUUGACCAAGUGAUAUACCGAUGGAAAACUGCUGUAAACACGCAAUUUUCCCGUGUUGAUCAUUUUUUCAUACUCGCGUGGGUUUUAACAAUUUUUCAUCUGAAAUUCAUUCAGUAUAGUAGCUGAACUUCCUGCUGUUUUCACGUUGAACUUCUAUGACGUAUUUUCGUUUGUAAUUUUCUCAUCCAUUCAUUAGUGUUACACAAAUGAUAUUCCUUUUGUACAAACCUCUCUCAUAAUAAUUUUUUUAAUUUUCUCCGACCGAGGACUUGAACUUAUAACAACAAAACUUUUAGUCUUUGUUUUUUAUUCCUUUUAACACAAAAUGCACACCAUAUAGUACGUGAACUUCUAGGAGUUAUCAAUCUGAACUUCUCGGUUACGUGAAAAUAUCUGAGUUUUCUAUGAAUAUUAAUCUGAAUUUCUUAAUCCUUUUUAUGAAUAUUGAAGCGCUCUAUAUUUAAAAGUUGAACUUCUUGUUAUUUUAUUUUUGACCUUCUUGUUUCCAUUCUUUAAUAACGAGGAAAAUUUGAAUUUUUUAUAAUCAUCGAACUUCUCCAUCUUUUUAAUAUGGACUUCUUUGUUUUAUUUAUUAAUAUUUUUUUAUGAAAUUUUGAAGCGCUCUAUUUUUAAAAGUUGAACUUCUUGUUAUUUAAUUUUUGAACUUCUUGUUUUCAUUCUUUAAUAACAAGGAAAAUCUAAGUUUUCUUUAAUUAUCAAACUUCUCCAUCUUUUUAAUUUGGACUUCUGGUUUUAUUUCUUUUAGUAACGGAAAAAAAUUCUAGUUUUUGAUAGACGUCGAGCCGCUCCGUUUUUAAAUUUGAACUUCUAGGUUUAUUUUAACAGAGAAAAUCUUUUUUGAGAUGUUUUUGAAUGACCUUCUUUGGGUUUGUAGCAAGCAUUGAACUUCUUCGUCUUUUUAAUUUGAACCUAUAUGAUUUUUCUAGAAACGGGGAAAACUUUUUUACAAUUUUUGAAAUGAUCAUUUUUUUAAUUUGAACUUUAGUGUAAUAGUAUUACACAAAGAACAACUCAAAAAAGCUCCAACUUUUCCAUGGCACUGGCACACGAGCAAACAUUUGUUUUUGGCCUGCCACUAGUUUUUCAUUUGACUUGCCAUGAACAUUUUGUUCGACUGCACAUCGCGCAAUCCAGGAGGAGCUAUACAACAAUGUUGUGUCGGCACGGCACGGAAGCGCACACAGGGGACUUGAUGAUGCAUCUUUUACGCAUGCUGGGCAGUGGCGCUCCGACCUGUUGAUUUCGAACUGAACUUCUGAAUUUAUUCCCUAGUAAUGGGAAAAAUAGGGGUUUUUGUAAUAAAUAUCGAACUCCUCUGUUUGUUGAAAAUGAACUUCUUGGUUUAUUAUUUAGUAUCGAGGAAAAUCUGGGUUUUCCAUAUACAUUUAACUAUUCUAUUUUUUAAAAUUGAACUUCUUGGUGUCAUUCAUUUGUAAUGGGAAAAAAAAUCCUAAUUUGGUAUUAAACAUUAUACAACUUGUUGGUUAUCUCGAACUGAACUUCUUGGUUUAUUCAUUACUAAUGGGAAAAAUUGAGUUUUUGUAAUUAAUAUCAAAUUGCUUCUUUUUUUAAAUUAAACUUCUUGGUUUAUAAUUUACUAAUGUGGAAAAUUUGGGUUUUUCAUAUACAUUGAACUAUUCUAUUUUUUUUUAAAUUGAACUUCUUGUUUUUUCAAUUUGGACCUGUUGGUGUUAUUUAUUUGUAACGGAAAGUGAUGAAUUUUUUUAUGAAUUUUUAACUACUCUAUUUUUCAAAUUUGAACUUCUUGUCUUUUUAGCUUCCUUUUUUUCAUUCUUUAAUAAUUAGGAAAAUCUGGAUUUUGUAUAAACAUCGAUUUGUUAUUUUUAAAUUUGAACUUCUUAUUUUUAUUUCUUCGCUAACAAAAAAUAUCAUGGUUUUUAAUAAACAUCAAGCUGCUCUAUUUUUUAGAUUUGAACUUCUAGGUUUUUUUAACGUAGCAAAUCCCUAUUUUUAUAAAUUUGUGUUGAGAUGCUCUUUUUAGUUUGACCUUCUUGGGUUCGUAAUAAACAUUGGACUUCUUCGUCUUUUAAAUUUGAAUCUCUAGGUUUUCCUAGAAACAAGGAAUUCCAAGUUUUUUUUUAAUUUUUGAAAUGAUAAUUUUUUUAAAGUUGAACUUCUAGGUUUUUUAGAAAUGGGGAAAAACAUUUUGUAUAAAACAAUUUGACUUUCUCUUAGUUUGGCCUUCCUGGGAUUUUUCUAGAAACAUGAAAAUUAUGUUUUGUUACAAAUUUUAAAUUGUAUUUUUUUUGUUUUUAAAAUUUUAUAUUCUUGGCUUUCUAUUUGAAAAAGGGGAAAUCCAUGGAAAUGUUGUUUUUUGUACAACACAUGUGUGUCUUUUUAGUUGUCUCAAUUUUAACGAACUCUCCAAUUUAUCCAAUUUGAACCUCCAAAGUUAACAUUUUCUUGGUGAGGCAUGUUUUCUUCUUGGUAUAUAAACAUCAAAUUGCUCUGUUAUUUUCAUUUGAACUUCUUCAUUAUUCUUAUAGUCACGGAAAAAAUAAAUUAGUGUUUUGUAAAAGUUGAACAAUCCAAACUUUUUAAAAAAAUACAACAAUUAGCGACCCUUCAAACAUUGAGAAAAAUCAUAGCAAUCAACACCAGUACCCAAAGAUGCAAAUUCGUCCCCACACAUGCACACAAAUUCAUCCGUCUACUACUAUCUCGGCGACUCUAUGUGAAGUCCCACCAUUUAGAAAUGUAUGAGCUCACCAACAAGAGUCUGAUUAAUAGAAAUGAUUCACUAUAAUGUACAGCCAGAGAAAAUACAAAUGAAAACAAAAAAAAAGUGAAUAUAUUCGCUUUUACAUCUCUGGAUUUUACAUGACAUUUGUUGUAAUAGUAUACUGUACGUGCACAUUUUUGCGGUCUAGUUUUGGCCGAAUGGGAAAUUCAGAGAAAUAUGUUGUUGUCGUUCUUCUUCUCAAAGAAUUUGAAGAGUUUGAGAAAAAUCAUAGCAAUCAACACCAGUACCCAAAGAUGCAAAUUCGUCCCCACACAUGCACACAAAUUCAUCGGUCUACUACUAUCUCGGCGACUCUAUGUGAAGUCCCACCAUUUAGAAAUGUAUGAGCUCACCAACAAGAGUCUGAUUAAUAGAAAUGAUUCACUAUAAUGUACAGCCAGAGAAAAUACAAAUGAAAACAAAAAAAAGUGAAUAUAUUCGCUUUUACAUCUCUGGAUUUUACAUGACAUUUGUUGUAAUAGUAUACUGUACGUGCACAUUUUUGCGGUCUAGUUUUGGCCGAAUGGGAAAUUCAGAGAAAUAUGUUGUUGUCGUUCUUCUUCUCAAAGAAUUUGAAGAAUUAAAACUCUACGGCGUUGAUGCAUUUUGGAGAUAAACUUGGAAGAAAACCAACUUGUUAAACUGAAACCAAUGACCAAAAUACCAGUUGUUUUAAAUCCUGUAGGUACAGCUGAAGUUCAGACAUCACAAAUCAAGAGCAUGCAGAUUUGGGGGCACUGUUUGGUGUGAAUCAGAAUCAAUUUUCUCACCACCAGGCAAGUAGCAGUAUUAGUUCAGAAUAGGUGGUAACUAUUAUUAGUCAACUCCGCCGUCGCAAAUCUCUUAUUCUGCAUGGAGCCGGCCUUCUAACGUAGGAAUACAGCGACUUUUAGUUCAUGUAUGAGAUCUAGUUCGCACAGACUAUCAGAGGGCUCCCCUUUUAAACAGCCUAAAUAUAUUCUCGCUAAGCAGUAUGGGACAAAACAAAUUGGUAUGCAACGGCUCUGAGGAAGUAAAAUUUUUUAUCUCUGAAUGCCGAUAACAAGCAGUGCCGUCGAUCGGACUGGCAACCUCUGCGCAAACUUAUUAAUCUAUUUGCUACCACGCUGUACGCUGGUGCAAAACCUGACGGGAGGCGAUUUUCAGAACGCCUUUGAUUGAGCAUAAUCGGAGGCACUCGCUGUGAUUGCCUUGGAAAUAGGGACAUUUGAUGGCAUUUUUCAAGAAUGCCUCUAUGGAAGACAAUCUAAGGCAUUUUUCAAAACGCCUUGUAGAAAAUGCCUUUAAUACUUAACCGUGUUGUAGUGUCCUGUCAGGAACCUGAUCUUGGGCAACGCCAAUGACUUUAGUCCCACCUCGGAUAUGGGAGGAGUCUAGGAGCUCCUUAUAAGGGAGAGUGCCACACUCCCUUCAGGCCGGUCUUUUGGGAUGUUGUGGGCUUUCUGCUUAUAGUGGAGUGUCCGAUACGCACCGGAAACGUCCGAGCAUAUGCCGAUGGACCGGGAGCUGGGCCUGGGUUGCUAACAAGUGGUAUCAGAGCUGGGCCCCACGCCACCCUAGGGGGGCUUCCCUAGGGGGGUGGGGUGUCAGGAACCUGACCUUGGGCAACGCCAGUGACUUUAGUCCCACCUCGGAUAUGGGAGGAGGCUAGGAGCUCCUUAUAAGGGAGAGUGCCACACUCCCUUCAGGCCGGUCUUUUGGGAUGUUGUGGGCUUUCUGCUUAUAGUGGAGUGUCCGAAGCGCACCGGAAACGUCCGAGCAUAUGCCGAUGGACCGGGAGCUGGGCCUGGGUUGCUAACAAGUCCAGUACCUACUACUGCUGCUCCUCGUUGGAUUGGGCACAGCUGACCUGACGACCAACAACAGCAGCAGCGCAGGCAGGUCUAAUUUGCCAGAAACAACCAGUGUCGUAUGCUGACCAUAGGAGGACAAUGUCAGCGACAAUGUGCAGAGUACACAGGAGGAGGCGCCAAGUUCAAUCGCGCGGCCCACGCGCAAGCCUCGUCUUCCAUCUCGGCUUGCUGGGCUUGAAUGGGCCUUAGGCCAUGUACGUAUAUAACUAGCAAUCACCACUGUAAUCGGGACGACAAGGAAAACGGCUGGAGACAGUUGGCAGAGAGAGAAUAACUCAUGUUAUCUUCCUCCUCGCUCCUCCUCUCGUUGUAAUUCGAACUUCAUCCAUGGAAAUAUAGAUCGAGACCUCACAAUCUGGCAUCAGAGCUGUUUGAUCCGGCGGCCGUUCCGGUCCACCAUCGCCACACCCGCCUCGCCGACAAGCUCCAGGCCGCAUCCAUGGAUCGAAUUUCGCCGGAGACCAAGGCCAUCUACGAUCUGCUCCGGGCGGAUUUCGACAAGGCCAACAGCGACCGCACCCACUUGACGGCGCAAGCGAUCGCCCAAAUCGACGGCAAGCUCGAUUGACUCUCGGGCCGCAUCGACGAGGUCAAGCUAUCUAUCGGGGUCGACAUCGACGAGCUGCGUCAGGGGUUCGACCGAUCCGCGGCGAAUUCGUCCGAUCCACUUCGAGGCAUGCCGGCUACGCCUGUAAGGGUACCUGGCAGCAGCCCAACUAGCCCCGAAGGGCACCUCGUCGAUAAUGAAAAUUGGGGGUCUGGACAUAGGACCUAUGUCCCGCCUCCGAUCAGAGGUAUGCAGCACGAUCAACUCAUUCAGAGACCUCCACUGAAUUAUAUCGAAAAUUUCCGACAGAAUGCUACUGAUGUUUUUGGCCUCGGUCCUCGAAUCAAACUUCCUCGUUUCAAUGGAGAAAACCCCAAACUGUGGCAGACGCGUUGCGAGGACUACUUCAGGUUCCGGAGCACUCCUUCAGUGCAGUGGAUUUCUUUGGCAACUGCUUUGUUCGAAGGCACAACAACGAGAUGGCUGGAAUCAGUGUGCAGAAGAGUACCAAACAUCUCAUGGGAUGAGUUCUGUUGCCUUCUUCAAUCAAGGUUUGGCCGCAACUUACAUCAAACAAUUCUGAGGAAAUUUUUCAGCAUACAACAAACUGGUUCAGUCGAAGACUAUGUGGAUAGAUUCUCAGAAUUAUUUGAUCGGCUGUCAGCAUAUGAGAGUUCAACCAACAUCGUUCAUUAUGUGACACGAUUCAUGGACGGUCUGAAACCAUCAGUCAGACUUGCUAUAGGCAUCCAACAACCAGUGUACUUGGAUACUGCUUACCAACUUGCUAUGUUACAUGAAGAAUUGGGAUCUGGUUCAGCACCUUCCCUUGUGGCCACUCCUUUUCAGCGCAAAGUUUCUGCUCUUCCACUCCCACCACCACCAGUUGCCAGUGGAAUUCAGUCUGUCCAGCGUUUAUCUGAAGAGAAAUGACCUCCUCUUGCUCAUUCUUCGGUAGACAAAUGGGGAGCUCUGCGUGCCUUUCGCAAAGCUAAGGGACUUUGCUUUACAUGUGGAGAGAGAUGGGGCAAGGACCAUGUUUGUGGGAAAGAAGUCCAACUCCAUGUAGUGCAAGAAAUGAUUGAAUUUCUGCAAAAUUCAGAGGAUUCUGAGACAGAUAACUAUAGGGCACAACAUGAGGUUCACAUGCUAUCAAUUUCAGCAGCAACACUGGGUGGGAAAACUGAUGUAUCAGUUAAAACAAUGCAACUCAGGGUCCAGUUACAGGGACUUAAUCUCACAGUCCUCAUUGACUCUGGAAGCACACAUUCCUUUCUGGACACUUCUCUUGCUUCCAAACUGCAAGAUCUAUCACCUAUACAGAAGGUUUCAGUUAAAAUGGCCAAUGGAGCUACAGUUCCCUAUCAUCAGCAGCUACAAAAAGGAGUAUGGUCUUGUUCUGGGCAUAAGUUUAGUUGUGACUUCAAGUUGUUUCCUCUAGGUAGUUAUGAUGGCAUUAUUGGGCUAGACUGGCUGUCCACACACAGUCCCAUGCUGGUUGACUGGGACAACCAUUGGUUAUCCUUUUCUCAUAUGGGUUCAGAAGUUACACUGCUGGGUUCUGCAGCAGUUUUUCCUCAAGUGGCUAUGUUACAGUUCUGUUCCCUGCUCACUACUGAGAACCUCUCAAUUCAUCUGGAAGUGCAGUCUGUUUUGGAUCAAUUCAGGCAAGUUUUUGAACCUCCCACAAGUCUUCCUCCAAGACGCGCUUAUGACCACACCAUCCCACUUAUCCCUGGAGCAACACCAGUCGCAUUGCAUGCCUAUCGCAUAGCCCCAGCUCUGAAAACUGAACUAGAGCGUCAGAUUCAAGAGAUUUUGGCCAGUGGAGUCAUUCGACCUAGCAACAGUCCCUUUUCGUCUCCUCUUCUGAUGGUCAAGAAAAAGGAUGAGACAUGGCGACCAAUCAUUGAUUACCGUCAUCUCAAUGCCAUAAUAGUUAAAGGGAAAUUUCCUAUACCGAUUAUCGAUGAGCUCCUUGAUGAAUUGGUUGGUGCUGGAUGGUUUACUAAACUCGACUUGCGAUCAGGUUACCAUCAAAUCAGGUUAGCUCCUGGUGAGGAGUACAAAACUGCCUUCCAAACACAUCUUGGUCACUACGAAUUCACAGUGGUAUCGUUUGGUCUGACUGGAGCUCCCAACACAUUUCAAUUUGUAAUGAAUCACACUCUGUCCCCAGGGAAUUGUAAAUAUGUUAUUGUUUUCUUUGAUGACAUCCUGGUGUUCAGCAUCACCUUUGAGGAGCAUUUGCAACAUCUGAAACAGGUUUUGUCAAUGCUUGCUAAGCACCAAUGGCGAGUGAGGCUCUCCAAAUGCGCGUUUGCCCAACAGCAGGUUGGGUAUCUUGGUCACAUAAUUACCGCAGCUGGCGUUUCCACGGAUCCCACCAAGAUUACAGCAAUUGACACAUGGCCUACACCAACGAAUGUCAAGGAAGUUCGUGCCUUCCUUGGUCUGGCAGGGUACUACAGAAAGUUCAUCCGUCAUUACGGGAUAAUCUGUUGCUCUCUCACUGCACUUCUGAAGAAAGGAACAAUGUUUCGUUGGUCUGAAACUGAAGACAUUGCUUUUCGUUCCCUCAAACAAGCCCUGGUGAUAGCACUGGUCCUCGCCUUAUCGGACUUUAAGAAAACCUUUGUGGUUGCUACCGACGCUUGUGAUGUGGGCAUUAGUGCAAUACUGAUGCAAGACGACCAUCCCCUCACUUAUGUCAGCAAGGCCUUGGGCCCACACAAUCAAGCCCUAUCAUUCUAUGAAAAAGAAUUUUUGGCCAUUCUCUUGGCUGUUGAACACUGGUGUCAGUAUCUGCUCUUCAGUGAAUUUAUUAUACAAACUAACCAGCGCAGUCUAACUAGUUUGUAUGAUCAGCGUUUACACACCAGUUGGCAGCAAAAAGCACUGACAAAAUUGAUGGGGUUGCGUUACAUUAUUCAGUAUCGCAAAGGAACAGAAAACAGUGCCGCUAAUGCUCUUUCGCGUCGACCCCAUACUACAAUUGAACUUCAAACUGUCUCCAGUGCAUCUCCAGCUUGGUUUCCUGAUAUUAUUGCAAGUUAUCAGCAUGAUGAAGUUGCUCUCAAACUCGUCCAGAAAUUGACCAUGGACCCGCAGGCAGAUAGUAAAUUUUCCUUGAAGAAUGAAUUGUUAUGCACAGAUGGUUGCAUUUGGGUGGGUGCAGACAGUGAGCUACAGUCCAGAAUUGUCAGUGCAUUUCAUAGCUCACCUCUCGGAGGACAUUCUGGGUUCCUAGUAACAUACAAGCGUAUUCAUCAGCUAUUUAGAUGGACUGGUAUGAAAACCUUCAUCAAACAAGCAGUUCAUUGCCACCUUGUCUGUCAGCAAGCGAAACCAGAGCGGGUACCAUAUCCUGGUCUCCUUCAGCCGCUGCCAGUCCCUAAUCUUCCAUGGGAAAUGGUUACCAUGGACUUCAUUGAAGGGCUUCCGCAGUGUGGGCGUUAUAACUGUAUCCUAGUAGUGAUCGACAAGUUUUCCAAGUAUGGUCAUUUCAUACCACUUCACCACCCAUUCACAUUGCAGACAGUGGCCGAGGCCUUCUUGGAUUCUAUUUACAAGCUACACGGUAUGCCCUUGUCAAUAGUCUCUAAUCGCGAUCAUAUAUUUACCAACCAGUUUUGGAAGGAAUUGUUCCAACAUGUCCAGGGGACACAACUGCGUAUGAGUUCAGCUCGACACCCUCAAUCCGACGGGCAAACAGAAAGAGUAAAUCAACAAGUUCAGUGCUACCUCCGUUGUUUUGUCAGUGCACAUCCCUCCAAAUGGUCGAAGUGGUUAUCUCUAUGUGAAUAUUGGUACAACACCAACUGGCAUUCAUCCACUACAAAAAGUCCCUUUGAAAUUAUCUAUGACCACUCCCCUAGGCACUUUGGCAUUACUCCAGUUGGUGCCAUUGCUUCAACAGACCUGUCCUUAUGGCUUGAACACAGACAAGUGAUUUUUGAAUCAGUCAAGCAACAACACCUACAAGCUCAGCAAAGGAUGAAGACUCAAGCUGAUAAACACAGAAAUGAAAGAAGCUUUUCUGUGGGUGAUCAGGUCUUCUCAAACAGCAACCAUAUAUACAGAAGUCGGUGGCUCCGCAUGCUAAUCAUAAGCUGGCAUACAAAUUCUUCGGCCCCUACACUAUUCUGGAACGUGUGGGAGAAGUUGCCUAUCGUCUGGAUCUCCCAAUCACCAGCAAGGUCCAUCCGGUGUUUCAUGUGUCUCUUCUACGCAAAGUUCUCAAGCGCACACAUCAAGUUCUUCCUCAACUACCAUCGCCUGAAGCGGCAAUGCAAGUACCAGAGAAAGUUCUGCAUAGGCGAGUGAUCCAUCGUGUUGACAAGAAGGUGGUUCAGGUCCUCCUUCAGUGGUCCGGCGAUUCAGCUAAUUUAGCAACUUGGGAAGACUUCGAAGUUAUCAAGCAAAAAUUCCCGCGCGCGCCGGCUUGGGGGCAAGCCGUAUCUCAACAAAGGGGGAUUGUCAGCGACAAGGUGCAGAGUACACAGGAGGAGGUGCCAAGUUCAAUCGCGCGGCCCACACGCAAGCCUCAUCUUCCGUCUCGGCUUGCUGGGCCUGAAUGGGCCUUAGGCCAUGUACGUAUAUAACCAGCUAUCACCACUGUAAUCGGGAUGGCAAGGAAAACGGCUGGAGACAGAUAGGCAGAGAGAGAAUAGCUCAUGUUAUCUUCCUCCUCGCUCCUCCUCUCAUUGUAAUUCGAACUUCAUCCAUGGAAAUAUAGAUCAAGACCUCACAAACAAGUCGUGGCCGUGCACGAGAGAUGCAGAAGAACCAUGGGAGUGUAGAGUGGAUGAGGUAGGAGGGGCUGAGAACAUCAGCAUCGACAGUGACCUGUACGAGGAGUGACAAAGGCGAUCUGCGGUGGCGUAGGAGAGUGGAGGGACGAGGCUGGAAGCUCGCAUAACGCACGACGACCAGUUCAGAGGUGGUGCAUGGAGGAAGGCAGGCUGCCGGGGCGGCGGACGGCACCCGGUGCGCAGGUGACUCGAGAAAGGAGGCGGGUUGCUGGGCCGACCCACGAUGAGGUGGGAGGAGCUGGAAGUCCAGAUCAGGGUGUCGGUGUGGUUCGCCAUGAGGAUCCACGGUGAUGUAUGGUGGCUUGCUUGGGGGGAGGGAGGUUGGAGCGCCGGCAUCAUCCAGGAUAGGCGAGUAGCCGUUGUACUGUUUGGAGAAGGAAUCCCUCGUCGAUUGGGCAGGUCAUCCAUAGAAGCCCAGGCAGAUGUGGAUUAGGGUCGAGGAUGAAGGCUACCACCUGGAUGGGCUGUAGCGGCCGGUGAAGGCCAUCUAUGGGGAGAGACCGCGCCGGUCGUGGAGGAGAAUUGGCAGGCUGCAGCGGGGAGGGACCGCACCAGCCGCGGAGGAGCAUUGGCGGGCUGCAACGGGGAGGGACCGUGUCGGGAUAAGUAUAUUUUUGAGUCAAUUACACUAGUGGUGUCACAACUUGGCAUGAAUGUUCACUUUGGUGCUACAAGUUGUGAGAUACAUCAAAGUGGUGAAAAAACUUGAUUCUGUCGUGCACAUAUGGUGCUUUUCUCAGUUUCAUAUCUAGCGCUGACUAAGCAAGCCAGCAUGGCACGGGUCCCGCUGGCAGCGAUCGGAGGGCGCGGGCCGGCACGUGUGGCGAGAGUUUUUAUCAAAAACCCCUUGGAAUUUCUUUUUUUAGAAAUAAGCCUGUACAAAGGUGGCCUUUCCUUAUAACUACUAUAUCCCAAAUCUUCACAUCCAAAUCCCUAACCCUCGUUCCUGUAAGUGCAUCUAGUGCCACCCCUAGUUGGUUUUGGAGUAUUGACGACAAACCUAGUUGAGGGACUAAUGUGUUUGUGAGAAUUGCAGGAUAACACAGGUAGAAGUCCCUCAUUGAUUCGGUUUUCCUACCAGAGAUGACCCCUAAAAAUGUAUGAAGACAUUGAUGUCAAAGGUGGUAUAUGAAGAUAUUCACAUUGAAGACUAUGACAAGAGAAGACAUCGCAUGAAGCCUAUGGAGCUCGAAGACUUAGAUCUUUCGUAGUUCUUUUUCUUCUUCUUUGUUGAGUCAUAGGAACCACCGUACUGUUAAGUGGGGUCCAAGAGAACCAAUCAGAAUGACUGAAGUGAUGCUUAACCAAAACCUAUGUCUUCGAGUGAAGACUAUGAGAGCGAAUCUUGUCCAGAGUCGGACAAGUCAGCUUUGCUUGUGGCCCAAGUAAAGUUGCCGUGUGAGUUUGAAAUCUGACUGUGGGAACACAUGUCAGUUCCUUAGUGACCCAGGGUCAUUUCGGACAAAUCAGGUCGGGUUGCCUAGUGGCUAUAAAUAGCCCACCCCUUACAACCAAAAAUGGUUGGCUGCUCAGAGUUAGUGUACGGCUUUUGUCAUUUGAGAGCAACCCACCUCGAAGCCUUUGAGAGAGAAUUCCUUGCGAGGAUAAAGCCCUAACCACCCAGAGCCAAAGAGAAUUAGGCAUCACUUAAGUAUUCUUGUUUGUGUGAUCUGAAGACUUAUUACACUUGAGGACUGUGAAUCCUCCAGCCGGUUAGGUGUCGCGUUCUGAGCAUCCAAGAGACAUUGUGGAUUGCCGGUGAACGAAGUCUGUGAAGGUUUGGGAGUCUACCUUGAAGACUUACCAGAGUGAUUGGGCGAGGUCUGUGUGACCUUAGCUCAAGGGGAAUACGGUGAGGACUGGGUGUCCUGAGCUGCGUGUUCAGGACUGGGUGUCCGGGACUGUGUGUCCUCAGGUUUAAAUACCUAGCCGCCCUAACCAGACGUACAGUUGUCACAGCAACUGGAACUGGUCCAACACAUCAUUGUCUUCAACGAGUCACUGGUUUCAUCCUUCCCUUCUCUUUACGUACUGUUACUCCUUGUGAAGUCAUUGUAUGAUUGCACUAUCUUUUAUCUUCACUGAGUGACUGCGUGUUCUGUUUGGCUUCAUAAUAUCUUCCUACCUGAUCCUUACUACAUUGCUGCUAUUAGUCAUUGUGCUUUCACUCUAUUGAAUACUUGACUAUGGCUUGCCUAGUGUAGUCUACCUUCCGCUGCAGGGUAAUAGGUUUAUUUCUAUCGUUUGUCUUCAUAACUUCCAUGUUUUGAAGACUUUCAUAAAAAUCGCCUAUUCACCCCCCUCUAGUCGAUAUAACGCACUUUCAACUGGUAUCAGAGCAAGGUACUCCCUUGUUCUGUGUGAUUCGGUUUAACCACCUGGAGUUUUAGCUAUGUCGACUGCAGGGAUAAUCAAAGUCUCCGCUGCGUGCCCCGUCUUCGAUGGAACUGAAUAUCCCUACUGGAAGAAUAAGAUGCGCAUGCAUCUUGAAGCCAUUGACGUCGACCUAUGGUAUGUCGUCAAGAACGACGUUCCCAAGGCUGGAGAAGGUGUCACUGCUGCUGACGUCAAGAAGUUCGUUCAACUGGACUCUACUGCCAAGAAUAUCAUCUAUGGUCAUCUGACCAAAGGAUAGUAUGGCCGCGUGAGUGCUUUGGAAACAUCUAAGCUAGUCUGGGACUGGCUCUCCAAGGUCAACGAAGGCGUCUCAACCCAGAGAGAUCAGAGAAUCAGUGUCCUUCGCAACCUCUUCAACCGCUUCAAGAGAAAUGACAAUGAGAAUGUCUAGCUCACAUUUGAUCGACUCACUGACAUCACGAAUGAGCUUCAAGCCCUUGGCGCUACUGAGAUCACCAAGCAUGAAGUCGUCAAGACACUACUGAGAUCACUUGACAGUUCGUUUGACACCCUAGCCCUGAUGAUUCAAGAAUGUCCUGAUUUCAAGAAACUCGAUCCGUCUGACAUACUUGAGAGGCUCAACACACAUGAGUUUCAGCUUUCUGAGAAAAAAAGAUAUCUACGGUCCAAACUAUGGGCGAACUCGUGCCUUGAAGGCAAAAGCUGUCUCCUCAUCUGAAGAAGAAUCUGACAGCAGUUCUGGUGAUCCUGAAGACAUUGGAAGGGAACUUGCUAUGCUUGUGAAGAAGUUCCAAAAAUUCACCAAGAAGAAAGGCUUCAGAAAGUCUUCCCGAUGAAGCUCAAGGAAUGAUGAAGCUUCUGCUCAUGACUACAAGAAGAAAACAUGUCACAAGUGCAAGAAACCUGGCCACUUCAUCUCUGAGUGUCCGCAGUGGGACAAUGAGAACAAAAAGAAGAAGAAGAGCAAGGAAUAUGACUCCGAUGACAAGAAGAAGAAGAAAUACUCAAAGUCUUCUUCCAAGUCUUCUAAAAAGUCUUCAUCACAUAAGAAGAGCUCAUCUGGCAAGGCACGUGCGUUUGUUGGCAAGGAAAUGGAUUCAGAGGAGGAGUCCGCUUCUGAGGAGGCGGAGGUGGAGUCUGAGGAGGAGUCCGAUUCUGGCGUCGCAAGUCUGGCUACAUCAUAUGUUGCCAAGUCCAUCUUCAACACUGAAGACAAUGACCUCAUCACCGACACCGAUGCAAAUGACAAGGACUACUCUGCUCCUACCUACUGCUUCAUGGCACGCGCUGCCAAGGUAAAUACACGCACUACUCACUAUCAAACAUCUAGUGACGAUGACUCUGAUUGUGGUUCAAAACCCAGCUACAAAACACUUGCUAAAAUUGCAACUAAACAACAGAAAGCCAUGGAACAUAUUCAAAAACUGUUAGACAAAAGCGAUGAUCUGUUAGGCGCUGAAAUGACUCGAUCUGAGUCCUUAAUUGAAGACAUAAAAAAUCUUCACGUUAAGUAUGAGGAACUUGAAAGUCGUCAUGAAACGCUCUCAACAACUCAUGAAAAGCUUUCCUAUGAUUAUCUUCAAAGGAAGCAAGAUCUUGAGAAAUUGAGAGCGGCUCAUGAAGAUCUUCAAAAGGAAAAUGAGUCACUUUGCGCCAAACAGACCAGUCCCGCUCAGGAAGGAUUUGAACCACCAUGUCUUAAAUGCAUUGAGCGUGAUAAUGCUACUACUAUUGCUGAAUGUUCUGCUGCUGCUACUGUUGCAAUAUGUUCAACUGUUGAUGUGGGAACUAACCCCUCUGCUGAGGAUUCCACUACUAUUGCUGAUGAGAAUGCUAGGUUGAAGACAUUGCUUGAAACAGGGAUGUACAAAAGUCUUAAAGGGCAUCAAACGCUAUGUGAUGUCCUCAAAAAGCAGAUCUUGAACCGAAACCCGAGGAAAGAGGGUGUUGGGUUCGUAAGGAAAAUGAAUGCUGAUGGCUCUUACUGGAAACCUGAGCAGUACCCCAAAACCACAUGGGUUGCUGCAAAGGAAUCUUCAACAGAUCUAUCCAAUCUAUCUGGCUUCUCUUGUGCAAAUCCCAUUGUCAUUGAUGAAUCCUUUGAUGCAAACUAUAAACUGUUUAAGAAUCAGAAUGGUGAAGUGUUUGCCAGGUACAUUGGUACUAACUGCAGGAAUGGACCGCCUAUGAAGAAGAUCUGGGUUCCGAAAAAGUGUCUGGAGAAUCUUCGUGUGAAUGUCAUCAUGACACCACACGUGAAGAAGACAAACCUCAGACCACAGGCUUCAUACGGUCCAAAGGCUUCAUACAGACAGAGGACUCACCUGAGUCGCACUAACGCAAAUGUUUUGCAGGGAAACCAUACUCAGGCCUAUGAAUAUGAGCACGGUUCAUCAAACCGCCAUGUUCAUAAGACCAAGAACUAUUCUGCUUAUUCUUAUGAGUACUAUUGUCCGCCUGCAAGACUUUUUGCUAGGGCUCCAAAGCCAAAGUUCUCAGAUGCUGCACUUAGACUUAUUGCUUCUAAGCCACCCUUGAAGAUGUGGGUGGCUAAGAAAGCUUAACUCUCUUUUGCAGGGAAAGGUCUCCAACAGAAAACCAAAAUCGUCUGACGCUAUUGCCGGGGACCUUAAACAUCUUGUAGGGCGCAAGAUCAAAUGCCCGAAUGGUCUUACUAUGUACUUCGUUCCUGAAUCGCUUGCUACUCUCCCUAUCAGUCCUAAUCUGGAUCUAAGCUUUCAUAACCCACUGGUUCGUCAAAUGUUUUUUGCUUCACAAUUCUCUUCGUGAAGCCUAUCCCCCUAACUGCACUGUAGGGUACGACACCAGCGUCUUCAGAAUGGAUUAUUGAUAGUGGGUGUACCAAACACAUGACUGGCAAAAGAAGCCUUCUUAUGGACUCAACCUUACGUCCAUCCGACAAGAGUCACAUCACAUUUGCUGACACUGGUAAAAGUAAGGUAUUGGGUCUAGGUAGAGUUGUAAUCUCAAAGGAUCAACACAUGGAUAAAGUCAUGCUUGUUGAAUCCCUUGGCUUCAACUUAAUGUCUGUCUCAAUGCUUUGCGAUUUGAACAUGAUCGUAGUAUUUGGAAAAUAUCACUGCCUUGUACUAAUGGAUCUGACAAGUCUCUAGUGUUUGAAGGGUAUCGAAAAGAUGAUUUGUACGUGGUAGAUUUUUCGGCAGGACCACAGCUUGCCGUAUGUCUUCUAGCAAAGGCUUCAGAAUGCUGGCUCUGGCAUCGGAGGCUAGGGCAUGCUGGCAUGAGGAACCUCCACACCCUUGCAAAGAAGAAGCAUGUCAUAGGCAUCGAGGGCGUCAAGUUCAAGAAAGAUCACUUAUGUGGUGCCUAUGAAGCAGGGAAGAUGACGAGAUCCAAACAUCCCUCGAAGACAAUCAUGACAACCACUCGACCCUUCGAACUGCUCCACAUGGAUCUUUUCGGUCCCACUCAUUACUCAACUCUUACUACCACUGCUUGCCUCUAUGGCUUUGUUAUUGUUGAUGAUUAUUCUAGAUAUACUUGGGUGCACAUAAUCCUCUACAAGACUGAAGUGCAGGAUGUCUUCAAACACUUCGCCAAUCGAGCAAUGAACAACUAUGGCGCCAAGAUAAAGCACAUCAGAAGUGACAAUGGCACUGAAUUCAAGAAUACUGGCCUUGAUACAUAUCUUGAUACCUUGAGCAUCACACAUGAAUUCUCAGCCCCAUACACGCCACGGCAGAAUGGCGUCGUCGAACGCAAGAACAGAACACUCAUUGAGAUGGCCCGAACGAUGCUUGAUGAAUACAAGACUCCAAGAAAAUUCUGGCCUGAAGCCAUUGAUACUGCAUGCCAUACAAUCAAUCGUGUUUAUCUUCACAAGCUUCUGAACAAGACAUCUUAUGAGCUCCUUACUGGCAAGAAGCCAAAUGUCAGUUACUUCAGAGUAUUUGGUGCCAGGUGCUGGAUCAAGGAUCCACAUCACACUUCAAAAUUUGCACCAAAAGCACAUGAGGGUUUUAUGCUUGGAUAUGGAAAGGAUUCACACUCCUACAGAGUCUUCAAUCUCUUUCAUUAUAAAGUGGUUGAAACAGUGGAUGUGCGGUUUGAUGAGACUAACGGUUCACAAAGAGAGCACCUCCCAAAUAUGCUAGAUGAAGUUCCAUCCAGCGAAUCAAUCAAGCUUAUGGGAACUAGAGAAAUCAUACCCUCUGAAGCUCAACCUGAAGAGGAACUUAUCAUCUCCGCACCUGAUCAACCUGAAGACAAUGCUCAGCCUGAAGACAACCCCACUAACAAUGACAAUGAUCAGCAAGAGCAAAACCUUCGCCCUGUACAUCCUCGUGUUGCCAAUGAAGUGCAGAUUGAGAGAAUAAUUGACAGCAUCAAUGCACCCGGUCCGCUCACUCGAUCAAGGGCAACUCAGCUGGCAAAUUUCUGUGGGCACUUCGCAUUUGUCUCAAUAACAGAACCCAAGAAAGUUGAAGAAGCCUUCAUGGAACCUGAAUGGAUUCAAGCUAUGCAAGAAGAGCUUCAACAAUUUGAGCUGAAUAAUGUAUGGGAACUGGUUAAGCGUCCUGAUCCUCGGAAGCACAACAUAAUAGGCACCAAAUGGAUAUACCGCAACAAGCAAGAUGAGCAUGGUCAAGUUGUCAGAAACAAAGCUCGUAUCGUUGCUCAAGGAUAUACUCAAGUGGAAGGCAUUGACUUCGAUGAAACAUUUGCUCCUGUGGCUAGACUUGAAGCCAUACGCAUACUGCUGGCCUAUGCCAAUCAUCACAACAUACUUCUAUAUCAAAUGGAUGCGAAGAGCGCCUUUCUCAAUGGCAAGAUUGAAGAAGAGGUGUAUGUUGCACAACCGCCUGGCCUUGAAGAUCCAAAACAUCCUGACAUGGUAUACAAGCUCAACAAGGCACUGUAUGGCCUCAAACAAGCCCCUCGGGCCUGGUAUGACACACUCAAAUACUUCCUGAAGAGCAAAGGCUUCAUACCUAGUUCCCUAGACCCCACUCUCUUCACGAAGACAUAUGAUGGUGAACUGUUUGUGUGCCAAAUAUAUGUGGAUGACAUUAUCUUCGGCUGCACCAAUCAGAAGUACAGUGAAGAGUUUGGAUAUAUGAUGCAAGAGCAAUAUCAGAUGUCCAUGAUGGGAGAGCUGAAGUUCUUCCUCGGUCUCCAAAUACGACAGCAACGCAACGACAUCUUCAUAUCUCAAGAGAAGUAUCUCAAAGAUUGUCUGAAGAAGUUCGGUAUGCAAGACUGCAAAGGCUUCACGACGCCAAUGCCAGCCAAGCAUCAUCUGGGUCCCGACGACAAUGGUAAAGAGUUCGAUCAAAAGGUAUACCGCUCCAUGAUUGGUUCUUUGCUUUAUCUAUGUGCAUCUAGGCCAGAUAUUAUGCUUAGUGUUUGCAUGUGUGCUCGAUUCCAAGUAACAACAAAGGAGUCGCAUCACUUAGCUGUGAAGCGAAUUCUUCGAUAUUUGGCUCACACCCAAACUCUAGGAUUAUGGUAUCCAAAGGGCUCAGAGUUUGAUCUGGUUGGAUUCUCGGAUGUUGAUUAUGCUGGUGACAAAGUGGAUCGCAAGUCUACAUCAGGCACAUGUCACUUUCUGGGACGAUCACUUGUAUGUUGGUCUUCAAAGAAGCAGAACUGUGUAUCUCUCUCCACUGCUGAAUCUGAAUACAUUGCUGCUGGAUCUUGCUGCGCUCAGCUUAUGUGGAUGAAGCAAACACUCAAGGACUAUGGCAUUCAUCUGAAGCAAGUGCCACUCUACUGCGACAAUGAGAGCACCAUCAAGAUUGCCAACAACCCAGUUCAGCACUCGAAGACAAAGCACAUUGAAAUUCGUCAUCACUUUCUCAGAGAUCAUGUUGUGAAGGAAGAUAUUGAUAUCAUACACAUCAACACUGAAGAGCAAUUGGCAGAUAUCUUCACCAAGCCCUUGGAUGAGAAGAGAUUUUGCAAGUUACGGUGUGAGCUAAAUAUCCUGGAAUCCUCAAAUGUCCUGUGAUCAAGCACACAUCCUAACACUUAUGCAUAUUGAUGACUUAGAUGUGCAACACACGAAGUAAAGUAUAUCUUCAAUCAAUGAAGACAUACAUUCUAAGUGUAAAUACAUUAAUGUGGAAUUUGACUUUGGAGCGCCACGAUAAUUGUGCGCCGUGUCUGGGUCUAAUACUUCCUAUACGGUGGGUAACGCUACCACCAAAUGUUCUGUUUGAAGUGUUUCACUCAUGGCGUUACAUUUUCUAUGUCUUCACAUUUGGUAUUGGCUUCAAUCUCAACAUAUCUUCAUGAUUAUCUUCACUAUGUUGAUAUACUAGUGUUCUGUCCUCUACAGCAUUCACUUAUAGCUAUGUCUUCUUGUUGAAUCUUUUGAACUAAGUGAAUGUGAUCGGACCCUAACCUCUCUAUGCUUUCUAUCUCAAACUCUAUCUCUCCAAAUCAUAUGCAUUCUAUUGAAACUGUCGAAUGUCUUCUCUGCGUCCUUGUCAGCAGAAGAUACAGAGACAACCAUUAAGUCCGUUUUCAAUGCUCAUUCCUCCACCUGAAACCCGGAGAAGUGGGAACGACCACCCGACAAUCCAGGCGUGCAUGGGACAUGGAACAAACCCCAAUUUGCUGCAUGAUGGCCACGUGUUCCUCAGAUGCGAAUCGCCAGGGGCACCUGUGUAAUAAUGCAGUGCCGCCCCUGUACCUAUAAAUACACACCUCACAGCAAUCAUUAUCUCUUCUUCCACUCUCGCACGAACCCUAGCACCACCGCUAGCCCUCGACGACGCCGACGACGAAGCGCUUUGCUGCCGCAACCUCUCCGACGCCGUCUUCACGCCAACCGCAGACAUCGUCUUCUCCACCGUCGCUGUAGGUGUCCUCCGUCGCCAAGUUAGGGCACGGACGAUCGAACUGCUCGGCCUCCUGUUCCACUCCAUCUAGCAGUUCUUCGUGUGGUAAAUAAAACCUCCUUUUUAUGGCCUCUUUGAUCCUAUAGCUUUAUCACUUUCUGCCACAAGCAGUUUCUAUUCACACAAGUUGGAUCUCUUUCAUACUGCAACUCAUAACAUGCCUAGUAUAUUCACUUAUGCUUCACAAAGUAGUUAUAUUCCUCACUUGUACUGAUCCAUGGAUUCGUACAAAUCUGGAACCAACUCCUUAUCUAUGAGUGAAUGUCUUCGCACGAUGAGGUCAAUGUCUUCUAAACUGAUUUAUCUUCAAAAUCUUCUGAGAAUGCAUAUGACCUCUUCCCCUUCCCUCACACCUUAAUGCUGUCACAGGUACAUGUCCGUGGGAGAAUCCCUUGGUUCUCAUAGUCUGCAUUCAUUUGCAGAAUUCUUACAGCAUCACAUAAAUUCUCCCGAAGCCAGUUCCUGUUUGUCCAGCAAGCGAAAACCUUUGAAGCCUCUGAACGUAUUGAAGCCUUUCAGGUUAAGGUUCAUGGCUUCAGAAAAAUCAGCAAGGAAGGGUGGCAGAAAGCGUAGAGGAGAAACAUCAAGAGAUCUGCCUGUUGACCUCUUAGAUCUGUACAAGACAGAUCCUGAAGAGGAUUACAAUCAGCGCAAGACCCGAAUCCAAUGGAUUCGAAGAUAUUGGGCAGAACAAUGGUUCAAAUACUGAUUUGUAACCCAGGAAUAUGCUGAGAAAAAUGCCAUCAAGUGACCAUGGGGAGACAUCCUCUACAAAAAUCUUCAACCCAGGACCAGAGAUGAAGCCAUUGAACAAGGCUUCUAUCCCUGCAUGGUCCGUGGACCACAGCCUGCGGAUGCUGACCCAUCAUCCCUGCUAUGGUGUCGUGAUGACAAUCUGUUUAAGCGCAACUUCCAAUUUUCCUAGAACUCAGCGAAGCAGAACAAGAAGACUUUGGGUUUAGAUUUCAACCCUGGUCCCUCUGCUCCCCGUGCCGAUGGAACUCGCGAAGCUGAACCCAAUCUUCUUGGGCCCUUCUACAAUCUUGAAGGCCUCAUCACUCACAUCGUGGUUCAAGGGACAGCCUUGAAUGAGCCUGAAGAUGACGCUGAAUCAGAUGAAGCACCUGCAGUGCCGAAGCCAAAGAAGCUGAAGCAGCCAAAAGCUUCAAAGCUGGCCUCUGCACCAAAAAUCUCACGGGCGAAGCCACUAGCAACUGCACCUCCUGAAGACAGUGUGCAGUCUGAAGAUUUGUCACGCAUCUCCAAGCCCCAGAAGGUCAAGAUGCCUCUGCCACACACCGGCCAAGAGCUAACAGCUGCUGCCAUUCUGCGCAAUGAUGCCAUUGAUCUGUCAAGUGAUGAAGAUCUUGCAGAUGACGCUCUUGAGCAACUCAUCAAGAGCAAAGAAGAAGCAGAAAUCUUCAAUGAUCUGCCUCUCUUUGAUGUAACAAUCAUCCACAACUUCAUUGAUGAAUGGUUUGACACGCCAAACAUCAGCUUCAAAGAUCUGCAACUACCCAUUGGCCUUAGUGUCGCCUUCCAUGGCGCCAUUGCUUCAGAGCUAGCCCUCGCUCAGCGCAUCGUCAAGCAAAAGAUUGACUAUGAAAAGGCUCAGUUCAAGAAGCAUAUGGCCAAGCUUAGUGUGCAAGAGGUGAAAAACUUCAAGAUUAUGUUGCACAAGCUCAAAGAAGCCUUUCUAAAGAAACGUGCAGAAGCUCAGGGUUCUCGGGAGCGUAUGAAGAACCUGGCUGACAAGUGUGUGGAAGGCUACAACGAAGAUGAGAAGCGCAAGGCCCUUGGGCGUCCGGGCAUUGAUCCCAGGAUGGCUGCUAAGCAGAAGAAGAAGCCCAUUGUGACCGAACCUCUCACAACAAGGCAGGAAGCAGAUCCCAUUGUCUUCCCAACUAGAAUGACUGGCUCGAAGCCAAAAAGCCGGUCAACCGCUUCAGAGCUGAAGAAGAAGAGGACUGCUGAGGCUGAAGCCAGGAAGAGGAAACAUCCUGAAGCCUCUCCUACUGCCCCCUACAAGAAGAAGAGGAAGACCAAGAAAGAACGGGCUGCUCCCACAGAGCCUUUGAUUGUUGAACCCAUUUCCAUGGUUCGUCCUGACGCUGAACGCCAACUGAUAAUCCAUGAGCCUGCUUUCACAGAGGCUCAUGAAGCUGAAGACUUUCCAGCAGCUGAUCCCAUCGCUGCUGACGACAUUGGUCACCAUGACCAUGUAGAAGAUGGUGCAGUCCUUCCUCAGCCCGAGCACAUCAAACUCAUCAGCAUUGGUCGUCCUCUGACGCAAAUUGCUCAUGAUGCUUCAUGGGCUGAUCGCCCACAAGAGGAAGAAGACUUUGAGGCCCAGCCAACUCCAACUACACAGGCGUCGCCUGCGUUGCGCAGGCUUCGCAAAGGACCAACGCCUCCAGUCUCUGCGUCUGAAGCUGAAGCUGCUGAAGACAUUCUGGCUGCAUCAGCCGAUGAAGAAGAAGUCCCACAAGCUGAUACUCCCCUGUCCCACCAAGAAGCGGUUCUCGAGGAGAACGUGGUUGUGACCGACCCUCCAGCUUGUCAAGUGGAGGUUGAAAAUCUUGAGGCUGCCACCACCAACACCAAUGAAGCCACUAACGUUGUCAUGGCUGAAGCUAAUGUGGAGCCCUCACCAACAAAAGCACCAGAAGUCAGCGAAGCCACAGAUCCUACUGCUUCUGUUCCUGCGCCUGCUGCCGGUCCUCAGUUCGACUAUCAUGUUGAGCACAAGCCUCAGGUACAGAAGCCAAUCCCAAGAUUGCCCAGGUUCCCAGGUCCCGCAUCAGCACCUGGAUCCUUCAAUAUCAAUGGCUUCAGAGCAGACAACACAUUCUUCAAUAGCUCCAGGAACCCCUACUCAAGGGAAAGAAUAUCAUCUGAUCGGUUCUGGAGCUAUCCGCAGCGAAGCUAUUACUCCUGCAUUCUAUACAAUCAAGGUCGCAUCUUCCCACACAAGCGUCUUAACAUUGAAGCAAUAGCUGGUUUGCCCUGUCUGGAAGAAGCUCUGGAUUGCUUUAAAGAGGUUGGAUUGCUGCCGUUCGUCACUAACCAAGAGCAUUGGAAUGAAGAGUUGCUGCUCCAAUUCUAUGCCACACUUCACAUCCGCGGGUAUAAUAGAGAUCCGAAGACUUGGAUCCUGGAGUGGAUGACAGGAAAUGUUCAUCACGAAGCCAAAGCCUUUGACAUCAUUGAGCUCACUGGUCUACCCACUCCCGGCGAUCUCUACGAAUCUGGCUGUCAACUUCACAGUGAAGCUGUGGAGAGCAUCUUUCAGAAGCCUGAACCUAACAUGAGUCAGAUGCUCAGUAUGAUGAAGCCAUUACCCCAAGAUGCUGCAUAUCCCAAAGAGUUCUUUGUUGAAGACCUAGAGUAUCUGCCAAGGACUAUUUAUCACAUCAUAAGGUGAACUCUCUGGCCCAUCAAAGGGCACUCUCCACAUGCCAAGCUGGAAGGUGCAAUGAAGACUUUGGUCUUCUAUAUUCUUCAUGGAAAAUGCUUCAAUGCACAUGACUUCUUCAUUCGCCAACUUGCUGCAUCAGGCUCUGAUCUGUUUGGCUUGAAGUUCUACGCCCCAUGGGUAAUGCGGCUGAUCAAACUUCACUCCACUAUCUCAUAUCAGCCAUCUGCUCGCAAUCAUCGAAUUUUUCUGCCUGAUGUGGAUAUGUCUAUUGAAGCCAUCUAUCCUGAGCCUGCCAAGGAACCUCUAAGUCUUCAGAAUGCAGAGCAUCAAAGUUUUUCUCAGAACAUUGAAGGAGUUGAAGCAGUCACUCGUGUGUAUCCUUUGGCUGGCACUACACGUGCACCGCAUCCUGCUCUCACUGAAGCCACUGACAGUGCAACUGCCCCACGACCCAAGAAGUGCACUCGUGUUCUCAAUGACCGAGAGCUUCUUGUGGCUCUUCAUCAGAAAUAGGAUAGGCAUCAUGACUGGCUAAAGCAUCAAAUGCAAAGCCUCUUGGUGGAUGUUAAUCGCAUUCACAAUCUUGCCACCAAGAAUGCCUUUGUUGCUCAUGAAACCUCUCGACGCACAUGGAAAGGGCUAACACUGAUGUGUUCUGAAGAUGAUCUUCAAGAGGAUGGCUUCUCUGAGCACUUCAAGUUUGACUCCACACCUCCUCGAAGGGCAGUGCUGCGACGAACUCCAUCUCUUGAAGACUCUGAGUUCUCUUCCUCUACUGCAACUGUAAAUGCCAGAGUGAUCGAGGAUGACGACGAUGCUACUUCACCGCCGCCUCCUUCAGCAUGCUUCGACACUACUCCAAGCUCUUCUGCACCACUAAACACCACCAACGACCCUGCUGCUUCACCUACUCUUAAUGGGAACGAGUAGAGGCUCUAUGUCUUCAAACCUUUUUGGUCCUUACUGACAAAAGGGGGAGAAGCAUAUGAGUUUAAUAGUCUUCAAGCGGGUCCAUAUGGGUGGGUGCUUCAUAUUUUGCUUCAUGUUUACAACUCUCAUUUUGAUACAUUUGGUUCUUUGAGUUGUAACACUUAAACUCGAUGGUCGUCUGCUACCUAUUUGCCAUUUUGUGAUGCGAUGAUAAAUUCGGCAUGUGCGACGAUAAAUUCCACACUUAGAUCAUUUUGCAGACGUCCAUUUUCCAUUAUGCAUGUCAUUAUCUUCACAUACCUUCACAUGCAUAGUGGAUUGUCAUCAUAAGUUGAAGAGGAUCUCCAUAAGCACAACCUGCCAUGUGCAUUUGCAUUCCAAAAGCAAACUACUUAUAUGCACAUCUUCAGGGGGAGCCCUUGCAACUUAUGAAGACAAUUCCUUAUCCUUUACAAUUUCACAUAUUAUAUUCCCCGUUGAAAACUUCAACUAGUUUGUCAUCAGUCACCAAAAAGGGGGAGAUUGUAAGUGCAUCUAGUGCCACCCCUAGUUGGUUUUGGAGUAUUGACGACAAACCUAGUUGAGGGACUAAUGUGUUUGUGAGAAUUGCAGGAUAACACAGGUAGAAGUCCCUCAUUGAUUCAGUUUUCCUACCAGAGAUGACCCCUAAAAAUGUAUGAAGACAUUGAUGUCAAAGGUGGUAUAUGAAGAUAUUCACAUUGAAGACUAUGACAAGAGAAGACAUCGCAUGAAGCCUAUGGAGCUCGAAGACUUAGAUCUUUCGUAGUUCUUUUUCUUCUUCUUUGUUGAGUCAUAGGAACCACCGUACUGUUAAGUGGGGUCCAAGAGAACCAGUCAGAAUGACUGAAGUGAUGCUUAACUAAAACCUAUGUCUUCGAGUGAAGACUAUGAGAGCGAAUCUUGUCCAGAGUCGGACAAGUCAGCUUUGCUUGUGGCCCAAGUAAAGUUGUCGUGUGAGUUUGAAAUCUGACUAUUGGAACACGUGUCAGUUCCUUAGUGACCCAGGGUCAUUUCGGACAAAUCAGGUCGGGUUGCCUAGUGGCUAAUAAAUAGCCCACCCCUUACAACCAAAAAUGGUUGGCUGCUCAGAGUUAGUGUACGGCUUUUGUCGUUUGAGAGCAACCCACCUCGAAGCCUUUGAGAGAGAAUUCCUUGCGAGGAUAAAGCCCUAACCACCCAGAGCCAAAGAGAAUUAGGCAUCACUUAAGUCUUCUUGUUUGUGUGAUCUGAAGACUUAUUACACUUGAGGACUGUGAAUCCUCCAGCCGGUUAGGCGUCGCGUUCUGAGCAUCCAAGAGACAUUGUGGAUUGCCGGUGAACGAAGUCUGUGAAGGUUUGGGAGUCUACCUUGAAGACUUACCAGAGUGAUUGGGCGAGGUCUGUGUGACCUUAGCUCAAGGGGAAUACGGUGAGGACUGGGUGUCCUGAGCUGCGUGUUCAGGACUGGGUGUCCGGGACUGUGUGUCCUCAGGUUUAAAUACCUAGCCGCCCUAACCAGACGUACAGUUGUUACAGCAACUGGAACUGGUCCAACACAUCAUUGUCUUCAAUGAGUCACUGGUUUCAUCCUUCCCUUCUCUUUACGUACUGUUACUCCUUGUGAAGUCAUUGUAUGAUUGCACUAUCUUUUAUCUUCACUGAGUGACCGCGUGUUCUGUUUGGCUUCAUAAUAUCUUCCUACCUGAUCCUUACUACAUUGCUGCUAUUAGUCAUUGUGCUUUCACUCUAUUGAAUACUUGACUAUGGCUUGCCUAGUGUAGUCUAGCUUCCGCUGCAGGGUAAUAGGUUUAUUUCUAUCGUUUGUCUUCAUAACUUCCAUGUUUUGAAGACUUUCAUAAAAAUCGCCUAUUCACCCCCCCUUUAGUCAAUAUAACGCACUUUCAUUUCCCCAUUUUGCAGAGCAUGGCGGCGGUGUUCUUUUGGUUUGAGCACGUCGGCGGCGGUCUUUUGCGUCGAGCACGGCGAUGACUGUCUUUUGCUUUGAGCACUGUGGCGGCGGUCUUCUGCUUGGAGCAUGACAGCGGUGGUCUUCUGCGUCGAGCACGGCAACUGUCGUCUUCUGCGCUGAGGACGGCGGUGAAGGUGCAGAAGUAGCACGACGGCGAGCCAUUGAACCUGAGGUUAGCUCACGCAAUCUCUCUCAUCUCUGUCGUUCAUCCCUCUCUCCUCUCUGACUCCUCUUUGUCAUGCUUGUAGAUGGGUGGCACCGGCCUACCGAGGAUGUCGAUGAUGGCUUGUAGAUGGGUGGCACCGGCGUAGCGAGGAGUGGACACUGGCAGGAGAUUCUUGUCAUGCUACUAUGAGCUUAAUUAGUCCCUAUAAUUUUUGUCCUGCAAUUUUUGUCAUGCAGUACAUUGUGGUGUUGAUAAGUACUCUGGAUAACAUAAACCUUGUUGACUGGACAUGACGCUAGGACUGUUGGUUAUGUCAAAUGGAUUGACAAACCAUUGCAGGGGAGGGAAAGAAGUGUCAUAUCUGAAUUAGCUAAGAAGAAUGAGGUGCUGGAGAUGAAGCUGGUGGAGAUAGUUGGUGAAAUAGAAGCAGAGAAGGAGAAGCACAAGAUGGAGAAGAAGAUGACUAGAAGGAUGCAUAGAUACCAGCUUCAAUCUAGAGAUUGGAUGAUUAUGUUUGCUGUGUGCAUGUACUUUGGAUUAGUUGCAAUUGUUUUUGCAAUCUUUGACAGGAAGUGAUGUAUCCAGUUCCUAUUUACGGAGGAGUUAUGUGUACUGAAACAUGAGAAAAGAAUGUAGUAUUUGGUAUUUAAGAAGUGCGGUUUUAUGUCAAAUUCUUAUCUAAUUCUUG
rnacentral:lncRNA from 1 species